UUUUUUUUGGUUUGUAAUUUUAUUUGAGCACAAGUCUGUAUUAAUUGAUAAGACUCGAAGACAUUUCAUUUUGAUUGCUGCGCCAGACCUACAAAUAUGCCAAUCGGGCUGAAUGUGCAUUCAGCAAUAAUAGUAGUAUAGAUGGACCAUAAGUGGCACGCAUCGGAAAGGGCCAAGAUGCUGUAGUAGCUUGGCUAAAAAAAGGAUGUUGUUGUAGCAAAAAAAGUACAGCGGCAUGGCUUAUGUAUGUUAAUUGAUAUUAUUGAUCCAUAUACUCUAUAAGUGUUUAUAUGUCUAUUAGUUCUAUACAUUCUUGGUUGAUUGACUCGGUAUUUGAAUCUUAAUACAUCGCUUGUGUACAUAUCUAAAUGGGAGUACACAUUAUGCUGCGUGUGACAUUUGAGUUGGACAUGAAGUGUUCCAAAUGUUCGAAUUCACCUUAAACUAGAUUCUAGCUUCUGAAUUUGAAUACCGGCAUUUGUAAACCAUACUCAUAUGACAGUGGAAUACAUCUUUGUCGUCCUUUUGAAGAUAUAUAAAAACACAUAAAAUGAUUUAGAUGGAUUGUCCGUGUAAUGGGUAGACAGUAAUUUCCAUCUCCCAAACACUUGGCUUUGGGCAGCCGACAUGGGAGUGGACAUUUUGCCGCUUCUUUCAAAUUUUGGGACAAUAAGCAUCCAUGUUUACCCAGGCUUAUUGUCCCAAAAUUUUGUAUUCCUAGGACAAUAAGCCUGGGUAAACGUGGAUGCUUAUUGUCCCAAAAUUUGAAAGAAGCGGCAAAAUGUCCACUCCCAUGUCGGCUGCCCAAAGCCAAGUGUUUGGGAGAUGGAAAUUACUGUCUACCCAUUACACGGACAAUCCAUCGGCCCGAUUUCCACUGCUCUAAAUAGGGGUAGGUUAGUAACUUCAAUUAGACGUGACACGACCGCCUAUAAGCCCAUUCUGACACGGUGGGCGGCAAACAUGGGCGGCAAAACACAUUUGAUUCAAGCUCAUCCGAAAGACCUCUGUUUCUCCCUCCAUUUCCCCGUUCAUACACAGUGGGCGGCAAAACAAACUCGACUCGGCUGAAAUCGAUGUAGGCAAAUAUUUUCAAUAGGGGCAGGUUUGUAACUUCACUUACACGUGGCACAACCGCCCUACCUGUCAGCCCUGUUCAUACACCAUGGGCGCCAACCACCCGCUCCUCGCCUGAAAUCGCUCUGGGCAAAUAUUGGCGAGAUGCGAGAUUACCGUCCUGUCCCCAACCAACGAGACGGCCAAAAUUUAAACGGGGGCUAAGUUCGUAACUUUCCCAUAUUUCAGACAGACGCGUCCCAAAAACAUGGUUCCCCGUACCUCUCCCUCCAUUUUCCCAUUCAUACACCGUCUGUGCUAGAACACCAUCCCCACACCAGCCUCUGUCCGCCACCCCAUCCAUCACCGCCGUCCUCCACCCCAUCCAUCGUCGCCGUCCUCCACCACAUCCAUCGCCACCGUCCUCCACCAUGCCGGAGUGCCUAACAAGGCCGCGUCGUCCACUGCUAGAGAUGGACGUUUCUCAUCCACGGCGAUGGACUAAUAGCCUUGCAUCGCGUCCUCUCACUUCAUCGGCGCUGUCGUCCUCUUUGCCGGGGCCGCUCACAUGAUCUUCUCUUCCACCGCAACGGGACUUAUCCCCCGAUGCACCCAUCUACCGUUGUAGAUCUGCUUCAACGCCACCGACAGCCAUCGCACCCCUGAUGCCUACACGGCGCCGCAAGAGAGGUGGUACUUCAUAUCUCCUCAACUUUUUGAUCUCAACCAGAAAAUAGAUCUUAACUUGGUUACUCUACUUUCUUUUCAGCUCUUAGAAUUUAGUUCUUAGUUCGAAGCAAACAAUGGGUGCUAAAUAUCAUUUCUCCAGUUUGCAUCUUCAAAUCUGCCAUGGCAUAGUCAUAAUACGGUUUAAUUGAUCAUGCUUAGGUUUAAUUGAUCAUGUUGGUUUCGUGGUGGUUUCUAUAAUAGAAAUCGGAGGGGAAACCCUCUUUUGCUAAAAAAUGCUUAGACUUUCCCCCUUUUAUGAUCAUUAUGUGAUCAGAAUACGUGCUUCGUGUCAUAAUAGCACUGCUCCACCCAUCAAGCUAAACAAGCUUAGUUGUUCAAAUACGAAUCUGAUAUUGUUAAAAUAGAGUCGUUUAAUUGGUCAGCUAAAUGUUCCUAAAUUAGUUUCGAAAAUGCAUGUUCUCCGCUCGGGUGUGUAUCUCUACAGGGUGCCCACGGUGGGUCGGCCCACCCUGGGAUUUUGGGUCGUCCCAGGCCUCGAUUCCCCUCUGUUUUGCUGCCUGCUUCCGAUCUCUACUCGCCCCCAGCCGCCUGCCUUGCCGGCGACUUGCCGUCCCCAGACGGCAUGACUCUAGGAGGAGACGCCGGACUAACAGGAGGUUACGAGACGCUCACCCAACAGCGUCACCGCUGCCCGGGCGCGCCGCCGUGCCUACCUUUCCAGUCCGUUCAGGGCUCAGGCAUGCAGCACCCACCAAGCCAACCCAAUUUAUCCUGAGAUACGUCCUCAACACUCAGCAGCCACUCCUCAUCACCCAUUUUCUAAUUGAUUCAUUACUCAUUAGGCAGGACUGUCAUUAGAGUUUGUUGUGUGCUCAAUGCUACCUACACUUAAUGGUUCAUAUGUAUUUUUGUAAUCUUUAGUACCUCUAAAGUUCACAGGGUUUUCAAAAUUCCGGCCCUCGGAACAGACUCUAGUCAUUUUGGAUUGUUGGAUGUAGUGACAUUGACCCAGAUUACUACUGCAAGCCAGGUUUGUUGACAAUUGUACUUGUCUUUCUUACUCAUUCGAUAUAAUAUCCAAUUAUUCAUGUCGAUUAGUUGCAAACAAUAAGUGCUAGACAAACUUAUUGAUUCAGAUUUUGGACGGUCUCUUACUGCUGUUACAAUUCAGCAUACUUGUCCUAGUAAGCUCACAAGUAAAUGAUUGAUUCACUACAUCCAUGCUUGCCUUGUCAUAUUUGUUGUCAAUAUUCUUUUAGGGUGGACCACCCUGUUUCUAAAUACUGGAAUCGUAGACGAGUGAAUAGUAUUUAUCUAUGUGAUCUCUUCCAUCAUGUGUGGGCAACGAACACUGCAUUGUAUAGAAAGAAAGUGUCAUUUCUAGCUUUUACAUAGGUUUCGAUCUUUUACAUGGAAUACAAUCUGCCUACUUGAUUUGUGUCGCACUACCAACACUCCACCCUUGAAGCUAAACAUUAUUCCACUCAUAAUUCCUUAGUUUAUUUGUUCAAAUAUAAGUUUCAUAUGAUUCUAAUGUUCCUACUACAGUUUUGAAAUGUGUGUCUGCCUGUUAUAGAGACAUAAGGGGUUUGUAUUUCUGUGUGUGGUCUGGUCAGCACGGUAGGGGGUGAACUUUGCAUAUGCAGGGGUUUAUAGGGAGACACUCUUAGAGUUGAAUCCGCUAUGCAUUCCAUAGAUAAUCUGACUACUUUUUAUGUUUUCAUGAAUCUCAGAUUUUGAACAGCAUCAUAAUGAUUAUGAGCUUGCGCGCAUGAAAAGAAUAAAGUAGAACAAUGCCAUGGCUGUCAAACUUGCAUUAAGGGACUGAAAUCAAGUCUAGAUGCAAUGCAAUGCAAACACUCUCCACCUAUAGAUUCAUGCUCAGAAUAUGAUCCUAACAGUGAUUCUGAGCUAGAGGGAGACCUAAGUCAAUGUAGCUCCCUAGUGGAGGAGUCAGAGGAAGAUGCCCUAUCUUAUUCACCCAUCAAGGUGCUUGCUCUAACUUUCCAAGGUUACAUUGGUCGCACAUAUCUUGCAACUGAGAUUUGCAUUGCUUCUACUUUGUUGAACUGCCAUUAGCUUAGUUUACACAUAGUGUAUGUGAAUACACCCUGCCUAUCCAUUUUCAGUACAUAUUCCAUCUGUCAUCAUACCAUAUUUAUCCAUUCAAAUGUUGUUCUUGUGUAUCAGACGUUCAAAAUGAAGAGGGUGAUUGCUGAUCGUGGAGGAGCACAAGCAAAGUAUUUGGAAAAGGUAGUGGUACCUGAUAAAUCAAAUAGCCUAUUAGGUGUAGUUGCAAUAUCACCUGACUCACAAAACACCCCAACUCUAGCAGACUCUAGCCCUACUACACUGGUCAUUUCUGAUGCCCCAACUCAGCAGACCCCAACUGCAGCAAACAGUAUGAUUAUGCCAGUUGACAUAGAACCAGCUCUACGAUGCAAAACCCCCAUUCCAGCAAAGAGUACACCAAAUCCAGUUGCCAAAUCCCUUUUCGAACCAGAGAGAGCCCCAAUUGCAGCAAAUAGGACCCCUGUUCCAUUUCUUCCCAGUUUAGAAGAUGAAGCUUAUAUUGUUGUCAAGAACUUUGUGCGCAUCUUUCCUUCAUGGAAAGAUUAUACCGCAGACACAGAACAAUUUCCAGUCUUCCUCCAAAACUUACGCCUAAGUAAUGUACAAUGUUAUUCAUGGUCAUUAUUGCGUAUGUUUCUUCUGACAGAAGACACAAGAUUUCAUUCUUUUAAAUAGGCGAGGAGCAAACUGGAUAGUGAAGACGAGCAAGGGUUGGCUGCGCUUUUCAAGCACUCAUUGAUGAAGUAUCGUUCCUACCUGAGGCAAGCGCACUUCAAUGGCAAGCCUCUAAACAAAAUUUCUGUAAAGCCUCCGAUGCUACAUUUAUCCGACGGUGCCUAGAAUAAUCUUGUUACACAUUGGUCUCGGCUGCAGCGUAAGGUACUGUCUAUGAUAUCACAUCACAAUUUGAACUACAUUUCUGCAUUUGCCUUAAUGUCUCACUUGUACAAAAACUAUUAGCAGAAGAACAUUCAUUCUCAAGGGACCACAGAAUCUUGCAACUAUACUGCACACUGCAUUGCUCUUGUGAGUACCUCUUGCCCUGUAUGACCAUACUUACUUUCAUAGUUGUUUGAUUAUGUAGCAUCACUACACAUGUUAGCCUCGUAAUCGUCCAUUUGGUGGUCAUUAUAAGAUCUGUAUGGACUCUUACAUAAAUUUAGAAUCAACCCAAUGCUUUUGAAGAGGUUUAGCUCUGCAGUCCUCUUGUAAGGACUGAACAUCGUCUAUCACUGUACUUACAUUAACAGCUACUCCCUCCGUCCCAUAAUAUAAGAAUGUUUUGUGCAGUACACCAAUGUUCAAAACACUCUUGUAUUAUGGGAAGAGGGAUUGGUUCAUUGUGUAGCAUUCUGCAUCUUAUCUCCCUGGCCCACCAUUUACUAAAAAAGAUCAGAUCUAUAUUUAAUCUUACCAACAAGUAGAUUACACAGACAAUGCCAGUGCAGAAGUGUAGCCCAUUGCUCUUCUCAGUACAUUUUGUCCUGUAACGCUUGUACUUCCAGGGAUUGGUAGUUGAUUAUGUAGCAUCAAUCUAUCUUAUCUUCAUUAUCCUCUAUCCCUUCCAGUAUUAUCAUAUCUAUAAUUUCUCUCUACAAAAUGUAGAGUACAGUCAAUGUUUAUGAAGAAGAUUCUAUGCUGAAAUUCUUGAAUUAUCCUUCCCUUGACAUGGAGAAGGGCAUUAUAAAGCCGGUGUUAACUGUUAAUGUAAGUCAGUCCUUCUAAAGCCUUUAUCCUCAACUGCUGUUUAAUUUUCUCAUACUCCCUAUUGUUUAAUGUUGUUUAGUUUGCUGUUUCUACCAAAAUGCAUGUUCGCAAGAACCGUAAGUUCUAAGUUAUACUUGUAAAACCAAAUUCCUUAUUCAUACCAUGCACAUUAAUCAAUACUCCCUAUAUGUAUGCUUGUUUUUGUGGAUCUAUAAUCCAGUGUGUGGUGAAGCAGCCCACGUUUGCACCUUGUCAUCUCUUGUUUUAUCUUACUGAUGUGGCUGAUGAUAUGAACAACAUGCCAUGCACAUUAACCAAAAUAGAUACAAUGAUUUUAUUUGCCCUUCAUCUAUGCUUGUUAUGUUGACAUGGUAAUCCAGUAGUGUGGUGAAGCUCCCCGCAUUAUGAACAAUGCCAAAUUAUGCUAUUGAUAUUUUGAACUUACUCUUUAUUUUCUAAUUUGAAAUUGGAUGGAAUUGACAGCACAGUUAUCAUCUUUCUUUAUACACGUGCAAAACCUGUCAUCUGUCUGCUUUGUUUCAGGGUGAUAUGCCAGAUGGCAUGCACAAGUCUGCUGAAGGCUGUGAGACAAACCCAACAUAUAUUGCAGCAAAGAAGGCAAAACAUCUUGAAGCUAGCGAGACAACCCCAAAGUCUUGUCUUGAUGCAGUGUUCAAGUUACUUGAGACUAGCAGUCACACAAGCUCACAGAAUUUGUUGUCUGAAUCAGUUCGACUUCUUCAGUCCCAAGUUCUAGCAGAAAGGCAUUCUGCAACUCAACUUCGACUUGAAGUUCUAUCUCAAAGAAAGAUUGCGGAGAACACCAAUGAGAACCUCAUCGCUAAACAGCUACACCUCGAAGCUGUGACUGACAUGCUAGGCCAGUCUCACAGCCUUGAUCAGCAGCUUGCGCAGCAGUUCCCCCGCAAGGCUAACCUUUCUUGAACUGUCUUGGAAGUGGUCUCGGUUCAGUAUUAUUUUGUUACGCUGCAAUGGUGCCCAGUUUUUGUAAUCUACUUCUUCGUUGCGCUUUAUGAUCACUGGUGGCGAACUUCAAUGCCCAAUGGAUGUAAUAUACCUUAAAUCCUUUAUUGUAUAGUGUAGGUUUAUUCUUAGUUACUAUGCCGUAAUUUCUUUAUUGUAUAGAGUAGGUUUGUUCUUAAUUCCUACUAGUUACUGCCAUCAUUCGCUAUAUGCAAAAAAUCAAAUGUAGUCGACCGGGCCGAAACAUUCGACUCUAACGGGCCUGGUUUUUAGCGGGCCACAACUGGGCCAGCCUGCGUCUUUCUUGGGCCCGAAUGAUGUCCUAGGAUAUCCCGGAGUACCCGUGUGAUCAUCCUACGGUCCGCCACCCAGGCUCAAAGGGAUCAUAAGAUUAUUCAUGCUAGAAACUUCCGUGUGCAGCCACAAGCUAUUAUGGGAUCUAGCAUAGUUCAGUAAGUUGCAAGACCUCUUUUAGUGGUGGGCUAGCAGAUGUAGGGGAAAGUAGGUGUAACUGUCCACCCAGAGUAAAGAGCUAUUGUUUCAGAAAGACUGUGUCUCAAUUCUCCGAUCAUGGAUGUAUUCGAGUCUUGUGGGGAAAAGUGCGCAAACCUCUAUAGAGUGUAUAAACUAAUCAUGGUUAGCCGUGUCCCCGGUUAUGUACGUUUUGAAUAUCUAGUUCUUGGAUUAUUCAUGUUGAUAUCAUCACUCUAAAUAUAAUUUGAUGGGUUUAAUGAUGAUGCUUAAUUGGGAUUGAGUUGGAGGAACUUUCUCAAUGUUUAACAACCACCAUGAUAGUUAAAUAAAAUUUAUUCCUUUGUUGUAGUGAAAAAUUGGCUUUAUGCAAAACUGUAACGAUAGAGCUUUCCAUCAGCCAUAUAUGCAUGUAGUGAUAGCAUUUAUUCUGUUCAUUACUCUCUUGUGUUACAUUGCGAGCAUAUUCCAUGUGCUGACCCGUUCCGGGCUACAACGUUCAUGUUGCAGACUUUUCAGACGACGAGUAAGGUGCCAUAGGUACUCAGUGAUGUUGUUGGAGUUGAUGGACUCACUUUAUCUUCCAAGCCUUCCGUUGUUAUCGUUUUAGAUGGCCUUAAGCCAUAUUCAUUGUAAUAAGUUCUCUUUUGAGAUAUUUGAUGUAAUAAGUGUGUGAUUUCUACUCUGUUAUAAAUCCUCAAGUACUAUGUGUGUCAGCAUUACCGAUCCAGGGAUGACACUGAUGCACAGAGAUCAGACUGUUUGAGGUCUGGUCGCUACAAUUUCUUUUCUAUACAGCGGUCAUAGUGUGAUAGCGGCGGAGGCAGUGGUGGCCGCCUAAGGGCAUCCAGAGAGCGCUUCUCUUUUACUGGGUCCAUUUUCUCCUUUGGAGGUGGAUAUUUCGGUGCAAGCUAGCAUUUCACAUCGGCAGCCACAAUAUCCUUGUUUUCCUUGUCAGUCAUCUCAUACGGAAACUUGGCAGGAGCCUUGAGGCUUGGACCAGCUCUGAAUUUCUUCCCUGUUGUACUGCUAGCCGUUGGAGCGGUGGUGGAUCUCUUCCCCAUUGCUGAGGCGGCGAAGUCAGGUGACGCGGUGGAGGAGGCGGAGUUCGCUAACUUGGCGGAGACAGCUGAUGCGAAGGAGGAUUCUGCUGAGGUGCCUCCUCCGCCGGAGAUAGCUGACGCACCGGAGACGAGUGAGGCAGUGGAGAUAGCAUAGCUGGACUGUGAGGAGUCUGCUGAGGUGCCUCCUCCGGCUGAGUCUACUGAGGCGGCGUCUAGUUUGCAAGCAAGAUGUUUUCCUUUCUCCAUAGACAGGUAGUCCUUAAGGCAUUUUCCAGAUGAAUCUCCCCUUCACCUAUAGGGUAUUCAAGCUCCAGCCCCUCAAAUCCAUUCAUUAUUUCAUCCACCCCAACAACAGCAUAACCAUCUAGAAUCGGAGCGAAAUGGAAAGUUCCAUCAGGUCGAGGAGGUAAGACAUAGCCGAACGCCACCUUCAAGGUUAGGUUAUGGCAUUUCGCAAUUAGCUCACAAUGUUCAUCCUCCGUGAUACCAUCCACGGGGUAGCGAGGAGCCGUGAUAUCAGGCUGAACGAGAUCCAUGGAAGCCACGCUGCUUUUCUGCUGAGAUGGUGGGGUAGCUUCAUGGGCAGUAUCGAAUGAAGGAUCUUCGUGCUAUUGAGAAGCUCGUUGACUGGUAAGUGCCUCUAUUUUCUUAUCAUGCAGUUCUAAUCUUUCUACCAUCUUAUGUAUCCGGUCUUCUUCCUCUUUCUUCUUUCUCCCUCGGCUUCUAUAACCAGUGAUGUCCGGAAACCCAACUUCCAUGCAACAGAGCCUGAUGUGCCUCGUGUUCGUCCAGGGUGUUCAGGAUUCCCGAGGGCGCGUGAUAGCUCGUCCUUUUCUCUGUCGAGAUGGAAUCUCCCUUCCUGCACGUCCUUGAUUGCUUCCUGAAUCUUUUUGAUGAGUGUUGCAAGUUGAGAUUUCGUGAAAACACACUUCCCUGUUUCUGGGUCCAAAGUUCCCCCAACCCCGAAGAACCAAGCCUUUGCCCGAUCGGACCAUUUCAAUGUCGCUGCUUGGACGCCUUUAGCAAGCAGGUCAUUCUCAGCUUUGUCCCACGUAGGUUGGGCUUUGUUGUAGCCACCUGACCCCGUAACAUGGUGAUACUUCUUCUUUACAGCAUUUAGCUUAUUUGUCUGUGACAUUUUCUUAGCUUUCUCCGAUUUCUUGUACUCCACAAAUGCGGGCCAAUGAUCUUUUAUCUUCGCAUAUUGACCGGUGAAUUCUAGAGUCUCGUCUUUGUUGACAAACUCAUUCAAUCUUUUCUUCCAGUUCUUGAAUAGUUUCGCCAUCUUCUUAAGAGCCCAUGCCUUGUCGUUGUAUAACUGGGCUAUUCGGAUCCUCCUCUGGCGGUAGGCUAAAAUUUAUCAUCAGCGAGUUCCAAAGCUCAUUUUCUUUCUAUUGUCGACAUAAGAAACUUCGCUGUCCUUCUUCUUAUUCCACUCUUGGAUGCUGAUCAGGAUGUUGUCCCUAACAACAACUUUGCACUAAUGUACAAAUUUGUCUUUGUCUUCUUGGGAGCAACCGGUUGGCCAUCUGGAGCAACUUGUUCGAUCGUGAACCUUUCAUUCUCGCCCAACCUUCUCUUCGGGCCUCGUCUCCUUAUAGAAGUUUGGCUCGAUCCGGAGGACUAAAAGAAGAAAGAAGCGUUAAUAUAUGUACAUAUUAAACAAUUAAUGCAUCUAGUCAGUAGAGGCUUUAUAUAUAUACACAGCCGGUCUAUUCUGCUAAUAUUCUGAUAACACUUCGGCAUUGCAUGCUUAACGCAAGUGCAUGUCAUUGUUUGAACAAAGUGUGCUGCAGUAAUCACGCAAGUGAAUUUCCCGUCGCAAAAAACUGCAGACAGUAUUUUUUCGGUACCUUUUUUGCUCUAAUUUUUUAACCGUUUGUCGGAACGAGGCGUGUAAUAUAUCGUUGAGAAGCUAUGAAUUAGGCGCAACUUCGUCAUGUUGAACACUUUUCGAGAUUCCUCAUAGUUUAAGAGCAGUUUUGAAAAUGAUGCGGCGUACAACGAGGGCAGCGAGCGUUUUUCGCGUUUUUUCUAAACUGCUCGUCGGAAUGAAGCAAACGAUACACCGUUGGAAAGAUAUCACCAAGGCGCAUCUUUUUCAUAUAUAUUAUUUUCUCUAUUUUUUUACAGUUUAAGAGCAGUUUCAAAUUUACUAAAUCACGGAAUUCUGUUUUUCAAUUUUUUUUCAAAUUUUCGGUACUAUUUUCGCUCCGGUUUUUUAACUGUUUGUGAAAAAGAGGCGUGUAAUAUACCGUUGAAAAGCUAUGGACGAGGCGCAACUUUCAUGUGUUGAAAUGUUUUUGAGAUUUCUUACGGUUUUUAGUUAAUUUUGAAAAUCGUGCGGCUAACGAUGAGAGGCAGCGGCCGUUUUCGCAAAAAAUUUACAAAGCGCUGACCAGAAUGAUUCAAAUUAUACGCUGUUGGAAAUAUAUCAAGGAGGCACAACUUUUUCAUGUAGAACACGCUCUCUAAUUCCUUAUGCUUUAAGAGCAAUUUUGGUUUUAAGAGCAAAAUCGUUGUAUGUUCUGCAUCAGACAGAAAACCGCACUACUUCAGAAUGAAAACCGCACUGCAUUGGACGGGCAAGCGAGCUGCAUAAUUUCUUUUGUCGGACGUAAUUUUUCUCACACGAGUUUUUGUUGUCUUUUGUUUUUUACUUUUUUAUGAAUGAGAGUGGACCGCAGAGACGAGGGCAAGUGAACAGCGGCAUAUGUGAAAGUGAACCACAUUACUAUCUUAUUGUUUCGCUAAUUUUUUCGCACUUCGAUGUUGCGGUGAGCAAACAACGUCACUCUGAAAAGUGAACCACAUCCCAGGAUCAAACGCACUGCAAGCGUUGAUGUAGUCGACUGAAUUUUGAGACACACGAAACAAAUUGCACUUCAUAGAGAGGGGUAAUGAGCUGCUACACAAAUGGAUUGAACUACCUUUUUCAAUCAUCCCACAAACAAAACAAAUUGCACCCAAAAAAGAGAACCUCCCCGUGGGGAUUUCUUUCUUUCUUUUACAAAGUGAACCACUAAGGGCACACGGACAUACAAUUGAGGUGUGUUGGCAAGAAAGUGAUGUUUAACGGAGUGCAUGUGUGCGCAUCCCGCACGACAAAGCCACUGAAAAUGCACCGCCAUGCAACCAAAAUCGCACUGCAAUAUCGAUGCAAUUAUUUUCUCUCUCUUUUUCACAAAGUGAACCAAAGAGGGAUUUACAACGAACUGCACCUAUAUUGUAAAAAAGAACACAAACAUUUUCACUGCAAAAUUAUAUUGGACCGCUAAGGGUCGGCUGCGAUGGGCCAUGUGCCCUGUGCACGGCGAGCGGUAAAGGCGGAGUAUAGGGGCAAAGUCACGGUCCUCACGGUCCAUGGAAAGCACCACCUGGGCCAUAUUCGCCAGCGAGAAGUGAGGAAAAAGUGGAACUAGAUGAUGCACACUACACUGGAACCGCACAAACCGAAUUUUUUUAUCGGACCACGUCAGUGAGCUGCACACGGGGCGUCAACUGCACUGCAUGUCCACGUGCAUAGAACCGUAUCGCGUGCCCACCGGGAUUGACCUGUCUCCUCACCGAAGGGAGUUUGCACUCCGGGCACGGGUAGUGGAGGUCGGAGCUCGACAUGGCAGAGAGAGGAAGCCAUCCUUGCCUCAGACGAAGCAGCAGGAAAAGGUGCGGCAUGGCCAGCACCAAGGAUUUUCACAACGAACUGCAAAAAAAUAUUUAGUGAGCUGCAAAAAAUAUUCAAAGGAGCUGCAAACAGGGGGAGGCGGAUCCAACACUGAACGGCGACUGGUGUUUUUGGCUGCCGCAGUCACUGCAGUCCACAAGCAUUAGCACACAGGGAAGAGCUCGUCGAGGUAUGGCUUGGGGGAGGGGAACCAGAUCGAUGUUGGUAGGGAGUGGGGCCGGAUAGGAGAACUUCUCCUUCCUCCUCUAUGCCUGUGGCCUAGACCGCUGGCGAGGCUGCAUCCAGCAGGGAAGGCAAGGGCGUGGCGCUGGCGGUGGCGGUCCGGAGCAACCCUUCGUGGGGAUGGUGGGCGCGUGUGGCCGGCGGUGGCAGCCCAGAGCUCCUCUGCCUCCCCUGGAUGGGUCUGGUGGUGGGGUGGACCGAGUUCCACGCGAGGCACAACUCGCCAUGGUCUAGGGAGGGGAAGGCAGAGCAUCAAGCACACCGGACGGGACGUGGUGGUGCCAUGGCCACGGGAAGGAGGAGGAGCUGGGCGCGGGAAGGCCUUUUCCUAGCAGUGGCGGAACCGGCGUGGAGAAGUCGUAUGGGGGUAGGGCGGCGCCGGCGGGGCAAGAAGCUGGUUGGGGGUGGGGCGGCGCCGGUGGGGGAAGAAACCCAGUCGGGGUGGGGCGGCGCCGGUGGGGGCAGCGCCGAUGGGGCUGCGUGCCCUAGCAGAGCAGAAGGUGGAUCUGGGGGAGGGGAAUCUUGGCAGAUGAGGAGGGAGGUGGGGUACGUGAGUGGGGUUGGUGAGUUUGUUUUAGGAGUCCGACGUGGGUUCAAAGUGUUAGCAGAAUAAGCUUUUUUGUUAGCAGAAUAAGGUCUUAAAGGGUGUUAUUAGAAUAGUCCUACCCUAUAUAUAUAUAUAUAUAUAUAUAUAUAUGUGUGUGUAUAUAUGUAUAUCUAUAUAUAUAUAUAUGUAUAUAUAUAUAUAUCUAUAUAUAUGUGUGUGUGUGUACCUCGACGGACUUUGCAACAGUUAAGGCUCCAACACCGGCGGAGCCGUCAUAUCCUCCCUCCUCCAUUCGAUCAUCGAAGCCGUCAUGAUCUCCUCCCUCCUCCAUUCGAUCACCGAAGUCAUUAUCCUCUCUUUCCUCACCAUUGGUGUCGUUGAUAAACGACAAGGUGAUAUCAUCACCUCUGUCGCGGAUUAUAUCCCCCAACAACUCUUCUUUUUCUAAGUCUCUGUCAAUAGUUUCUGCAAAUAUUACAACAUGGCAAUAUACAACCAUGAGAGAUGGAUUAGUGGAAAACAUAUACCUAAUCACAACAAGGAAUCAUAUGCACAUGAGUAAUGGAUUACUGGCAAACAUCAUGCAAAGUUGACAAGUUUUAUAGCAGUCAAUUUCAGACGAUCGUCGAGGACUCCUCCCCCCUAAUGUCAAAGUUAUAACCAAAUUACUGGGGUUAUGCUUUAACAACCCCCCCCCCCCUCAUGUCGAAGUCAAUGAACAACAUGAAAAUUUCUAAGUGAUUGAUAAACUUUUAUGCUUCAAUUAUAUGAAGAUCAAUUAUCCGAUAUAGGGUUUAGGGUGGCAGAAAACAAAGGAUACUUUCGUGAGAGGAUACUUUGCAAAAAAUUUGUUCUUCAAUUUGAAUUCCUGAGAGAGUUAUGAACAAUCGCUAUGCAAGAGAUCAAACUAUCCAUUCUAUCCCAUUGACCUAUGGUGCCUAUGGAAUAAAUAAAGUCCCUUCGGUUCACAGAAGUAAGACCGGUGAAUUAGAUGGCAAUAGUAUUAUACAUAACAACAGUGCUAUAUGAUAUUAUUGUUGUAGCGUUAUAUAAGACCACAUCCGCAACCUUCGACAAAUUGGUAGGGGCGGGAAGGGGUAGGAGAUCGACAAUGCUCUUUCUUCUUGGGUUUGAGUGGCCUCCAGAGUUGGUUGGGCGAGCGGACCGGGAGGAAAAAAAUUCCUUCAGGUAUUGGAUAUUCUGAAAACCUAACAUUCUCUUUGUACUUAUUUUGAGUACAUGAGUUGUUACUCCCUCUCUCUCCAUAAUUAACCUUAGUAAAUUUCAUUAUCAUCAUGCCCAUUUAGUAAAGUUGCCUCUCCCCGAUUUAGGCAAAGUAAAACUUAGUAAAUUCUAACCAAGUCUAUAGAAAAACUAUAUCAAACUUAAUAUGAGUUUUAGCAAGAUCGUCAUGAACAAAAAUUUCACACUAAUUUCUAUGAACAAAAAAAUCUAUGAACAAAAAAUCAAUCCAUCUCCAUUUAGCACACCAUCUCCAUACAUACAUACAUACAUCUAAAAAAAUUCUAAAAAAAGCUAAGCAGCAGCUAGCAGGGCAGGGGCGGCGGCAGCGGUGGCGACGGCGGAGGAAGUGGUAGCACAGGGGAAGGGGAGCUCACUGGGGGCGGCGACGUCAGGGCAGGGAGUGGUGAUAAGGACAUCAAUACCAUUGUUACACCCACAGCCCCUGCUGCUAUACAUAUUGGACCAAUUACUAGAGCUCGCGCACGCCAAUUAAAUUACCAGGUGCUUCCGUUUCUUGGUAAUGAUUCUAAUGUUCAUGAGAAUAUGAUGCUGCCUAAAUUGGAUACAUUUGUUUUGCUUACAAAUGAAGGGCCUAGCUUGGAGAAGGAUGAACAUUGGAGCAAGACCAAGCAUGAAGAUGAUGGCACGCGCAAGGGGAACAAGAACGGAGUUACAAGUGAUGAUUUCAGGACUUUGAAGCCACCAUAAUGAGUGCAUGAAGCCUUGGAUGAAAUACACAAGAUGCCACUUUAUAAAUUUCGUCCAGAGGCUAUUCUAGAUGUUGUGUCACCUUUUUAUUGGGCCAGGCCCAUGUAAUUUUGAAAUACAUAAGUAUAGGCUAUUUUUGGAGUCCGUAUAUGUGGGGAAACAAGAGAUAGGGUUGGUUUCGGACCCCUCCACUAAGGGCCACGAAAUUCCCCCCUCUUCCUCCAUAUAUACAGCCCUUAGGGCACCGUUUACACUUUGGGUUUUGUUUAGAUUAAAAGUUUGCCAUAGCUGCAACUUCGUGUACUUCGUUUGUGUUCAACGAGCAGACCAAAACGUCACAGAACCCCAUCUUGAUCAAUAAAGCUUUCAUCUUAUAUUCACAAUAUCCAGAUUGCAAUCUCAGUUUCUUGCUUGUUCUUUGUUUGCUCGCAGGAAAAUAGACCCUCGUGGUCAGGUUGAUCGUGCUCCGGUGUGGUCAAUAACCCCUUGGAAGUUGGUUUAGCGAUUGCUAAGGCGCGACGUCUCGCACGUUCGUAGUCGGAUCGUCAAGGUCGACUCCCAUAGAAAACGAUAGCCACCAUCUCAUCGAAACAUCGGGACACCUUUGCCUCUAACAAGUGGUAUCAGAUUUCCAGGUUGCUCGGUGAGGUUUUACAGUUUUUUAUAGUUUAGAUCGAGUCUGUUCUUCAUACCUAUAGUCCACAAAAAAGCCAAAAAAAAAUUAGGGUUAGUUCCUCAUAUCUGAACCAAUCUGAGCCUUUGCAUAAUCUUUUUAGUGUUUUGCUUUGUUGAAUUUGCGGUUGCAUCGUCGUGUCAAGUUGCUGGUCUUAGCAUCUAGUCCUUUAGAGUUUCGAGUUCUCUUCACAGGUUGUCACGUCGCCGCUGCCAUAUAUCACCACCGCAUCAUCAUCAUUGUUGCUGCCAUAUACCACCGCACCAACUUCAUCGCCGCUGCCAUAUACCACCACCACACAUCCACCGCCAUCACGCCAAUCCGAGUCCAUCUGCAACAUAUAUCCGCCACCAGUCCGAGUUCCACCAGAUUCAUCUCCGCCACCAGUCCGAGUUCCACCAAAUUCAUCUUCGCCACCAGUCCUAGUCCGAGUCCAGUAUUUUGUUACUCUGUUUUGGAUUUCGAGAUCACGCCAUACUUUGAGUCGUGACAGAGUAGGACUCCCGAAUUGUCGUGCUACCCGCAGAAGAAAAAUAGUUCCAAUUUCAAAAAAAAAAUAAGUCUGGAAAAAUCUAGCUAGGCAGUUUCUAGACCAUUUGUAGACUUUUUCGAAAAAAAAUUGUUACGGAGCAAAAAAAAGAAGUGAGAAAAAAAGAGAAAAAAAUUCAGAGUGUGCUCCUCCCUUGAUUAUGUGUCGCGCCGUGAUUUUGUUAGUGUUCUAGGCUCGCGUCUCUAGCACGGUCUAGCCUAGGACCAGCACAGUACCGUCAUUGAGCAUUUAUUCAACUUUGCAUCUCUGAAUUGAUUAUUGCUGACCCUUUUUGCUAUGAUUAUAAGCCUUCCCAGCUCCAUAUACAGCUAUGUCGUGCGUUUGACUCUCCUUGGUAAUCGCUCUAUCCAAGCUUUGAGAGUUUUGACUACAACAGUUGCCAAUCACCACCUGCUGGUGGGUAAGGACUGGUAAGAAUUUGAGAUUUGCUUGAAGGAUUUGUGACACACCACCAUCACCACCGCUUCCUAGUAGUCUAUAGGAUCAUAUUCUUUUGUGUUUCUAUUGCUGCUAACCAUGGCAGGAUCACAAGCCGAUGCGACUGAUUGGGAGAACAUGACGAACAAACAGCUACAUGAUAAAUUUCAGCAAAUGAUGAGUGGAUAGGUGCAAGAUGUGCUAAACCGAUUUGAAGAGGCCAUAGAGAAGAUAGCUGGCAUUGAGAAGUCAUUCGAGACAAAGCUGGAUAACAAGUUUAAUGAAUUUCUCAAGCGUCUUCCCCAACCACCACCGGCUGCAUCUGUCGCACCUCUACAACAAAAACAACAACAUCUCCAACGCCGCCUUCCAAAUCAAGUGAGACGAGCACAACGUAUUCCAAUUAAGACUGGUCAAAAUUUUGGUGCCGCUACACCUACUAUUGAUGCUUCUUUGGCUCCUGCUACAGCGACUGCUGGUGCCGAGGAGGAUGACGAUUAUGUGGGCGAUUAUGAGGAUGAGGUUGAUCAAAAUCAGAACUACGUGCAGCCAUCAGCACCACCACCAGCAGGUCGACCUCAGGUAUAUAUUCGCAAUGGUAGGCUUGCACCACCACCUCAGGUACGAGAUAAUGACCAUAUUCCUAAACUUAAAUUGAAUAUUCCACCAUUUGAGGGUAGAUAUGUUCCUGAUAUAUAUCUUACAUGGGAGUUAUAAACUGAACAACGUUUUACAUGUUUACAAUAUCCCGAGGAGAGACGGGUUGCUGUUGUUGUUUGUGCUUUCACUAGUUUUGCAUGUGUAUGGUGGUCAACAUUGUAGAUUAUAUCAUAUUCCAGCUACUUGGGUUGCUUUGAAAACUGCUAUGCGUACUCAUUGGGUUCCACCAUAUUAUCAACGUGAAUUGCUUCAAAAAUUCCAGCAUUUAAGACAAGGAAAAAUUAUGUAGAAGAAUAUUAUCAGGAACUACAAACUGGCAUGAUUAGAUGUGGUAUUGUUGAGGAGAAUGAAGCUAUGCUUGCACGAUUUAUGGGUGGAUUAAAUAGAAAUAUUAAGACCAUUCUAGAGUAUAAGGAGUAUACUAAUAUCACUCGUUUAUUCCAUCUUGCUUGAACGUGAAGUGCAGGAUCGACAGGCAUUGGCGCGAACUAACUUUUCUGCAGGUCGACCUUCAUCAUGGACACUGCGUGCAUCUUCUACUUCCACUGCACCGGCACCUCCAUCAGGUGCCACCUACAGCCAUGAUACAAGAAAGCAGGCACAACCACCACUAUCUGCCAAGAGCGCACCUGCCAGGCCUGCACAGAGCUCUUCUUCUUCCAUGGCAUCAAUAGGGCACACAUGUGAUAUUAUUUGUCGUCGUUGUAAGGGAAGAGGUCAUUAUGCGAGAGAAUGCAAAUCUCAGCGUGUGAUGAUUGCUACUGAGGAUGGUGGGUAUGAGUCCGCUAGUGACUAUGAUGAGGAUACUUUGGCUCUUAUUACACGUGAAGAACAUGGUGGAGAUGUUUCUGAUCAUGAGACGCAAUACAUGGCUCCUGAAGACGCUGACAGGUAUGAAUGUUUAGUUGCUCAACGUGUUUUGAGUGUGCAGGUCACACAAGCUGAGCAAAAUCAGAGGCACAAUUUGUUCCAUACAAAGGGAGUUGUGAAGGAACGUUCUGUGUGCGUCAUCAUAGACGGAGGGAGCUGCAACAACUUGGCUAGCAUGGAGAUGGUGGAGAAGCUAUCUCUCACCACAAGACCACAUCCACAUCCUUACUACAUCCAAUGGUUCAACAACAGCGGCAAGGUUAAGGUAACACGUACUGUUCAUGUGCAUUUUAGUAUCUCUACAUAUGCUGAUUAUGUUGAUUGUGAUGUGGUACCUAUGCAAGCAUGUUCCUUAUUACUUGGUCGACCAUGGCAAUUUGAUAGAAAUUCUACACACCAUGGUAGAAACAAUCAUUAUACUCUUGUUCAUAAGGAUAAAAAUAUUACCUUGCUUCCUAUGACUCCUGAUUCCAUUUUGAAAGAUGAUAUUAACAGAGCUAAUAAAGCAAAACGGGAGAAGAAUAAGAGUGAAAAUCAGAUUGUGCCAAAAGAAUUUGAGCAACAAAUGAAGCCUAAUAAUAAACCAUCUAGUGUUGCUUCUGAAAUUAAAUUGAGAAGUGCAUGUUUACUUGCCACCAAAUCUGAUAUUGAUGAGCUAGAUUUCAGCAAAUCUGUUUGCUAUGCUUUUGUGUGCAAAGAGGAACUAUUUUCAUUCGAGGACGUGCCUUCCUCUUUGCCUCCUGCUGUCACUAACAUUUUCCAGGAGUUCAUUGACGUCUUUCCACAAGACGUGACACCGGGAUUACCGCCUAUUCGAGGGAUUGAGCAUCAGAUUGACUUAAUUCCUGGUGCUUCACUGCCAAACCGUGCGCCAUACCGUACCAAUCCAGAGGAGAUGAAGGAGAUUAUGCAUCAAGUACAGGAGCUUCUUGACAAAGGUUAUCUACGCGAUCCCUUAGUCCUUGUGUUGUUCCUAUUAUUCUGGUGCCGAAAAAGGAUGGUACAUCGCAUAGGUGUGUUGAUUGUAGAGGCAUUAAUAAUAUUACUAUUCGUUAUCGUCAUCCUAUUCCUAGGCUAGAUGAUAUGCUUGAUGAAUUGAGUGGCUCUACAAUAUUCUCCAAAGUUGAUUUGCAUAGUGGAUACCAUCAAAUUCGUAUGAAAUUGGGGGAUGAAUGGAAACAACAUUUAAAACUAAGUUUGGAUUAUAUGAGUGGUUAGUCAUGCCUUUUGGGUUAACUAAUGCACCUAGUACUUUCAUGAGAUUAAUGAAUGAAGUUUUACGUGCUUUCAUUGGACGGUUUGUGGUAGUCUGUUUUGAUGAUAUACUGAUUUAUAGCAGAUCUUUGGAGGAACAUUUGGAACAUUUAUGUGUUGUUUUAAUUGCUCUACGUGAUGCACGUUUGUUUGGUAACCUUGGGAAGUGCACCUUUUGCACCGACCGAGUAUCUUUUCUUGGCUAUGUUGUUACUCCAUAGGGAACUGAAGUUGAUAAAGCCAAGAUUGAGGCUAUUGAGAGUUGGCUGCGGCCCAAAACGGUCACACAAGUGAGGAGUUUUCUUGGCCUUGUUGGAUUCUAUAGGCGUUUUGUGAGAGAUUUCAGCACCAUUGCUGCACCUCUCAAUGAGCUUACAAAGAAAGAUGUGCCUUUUGUUUGGGGUACCGCAUAGGAAGAAGACUUCGCGGUAUUGAAAGAUAAGUUGACACAUUCUCCUUUACUCCAACUUCCUGAUUUUAAUAAGACUUUUGAGCUUGAAUGUGAUGCUAGUGGAAUUGGAUUAGGAGGUGUGUUAUUACAAGAUGGCAAACCUGUUGCAUACUUUUCUAAAAAAUUGAGUGGGCCUAGUCUGAAUUAUUAUACUUAUGAUAAAGAAUUAUAUGCUAUUGUUCGGACUUUAGAAACAUGUCAUCAUUAUUUAUGGCCCAAAGAAUUUGUUAUACAUUAUGAUCAUGAAUCUUUGAACAUAUUAAAAGUCAGGCUAAACUGAAUCGUAGACAUGCUAAAUGGGUUGAAUUCAUUGAGACUUUCCCUUAUGUCAUUAAACACAAGAAGGGUAAAGAAAAUGUUAUUGCUGAUGCAUUGUCUCGUCGCUAUACUAUGCUUUCACAACUUGACUUCAAAAUAUUUGGUUUGGAGACCAUCAAAGAUCAAUAUGUGCAUGAUGUUGAUUUAAAGAUGUAUUGCAGAAUUGUAAAGAAGGGAGAACAUGGAACAAGUUCGUUGUUAAUGAUGGAUUUGUGUUCCAUGCUAACAAGCUAUGCAUUCCAGCUAGCUCUAUUUGUCUUUUGUUGUUGCAGGAGGCGCAUGGAGGAGGAUUAAUGGGACACUUUGGCGUGAAGAAGACGGAGAACGUACUUGCUAUACAUUUCUUUUGGCCAAAGAUGAGACGGGGUGUUGAGUGUUUUAUUGCUCGCUGCACUACAUGUCAAAGAGCUAAGUCACGACUCAAUCCUCAUGGUUUAUAUAUGCCUUUGCCUGUACCUAGUGUUCCUUGGGAGGAUAUAUCUAUGGACUUUGUUUUAGGUUUACCUUAAACAAAGAAGGGGAGGAAUAGUAUAUUUGUUGUCGUGGAUAGAUUCUCGAAAAUGGCACACUUUAUACCAUGUCAUAAAAGCGAUGAUGCUGUUAAUGUUGCUGAUUUGUUCUUUCGUGAAAUUAUUCGCUUGCAUGGUGUGCCAAAUACUAUUGUUUCAGAUCGUGAUACUAAACUUCUUAGCCACUUUUGGAGAUGUUUAUGGGCUAAGUUGGGGACUAAACUGCUUUUUUGUACUACUUGUCACCCCCAAACUGAUGGACAAACUGAACUAGUCAAUAGAACAUUGUCCACUAUGCUUAGGGUUGUUUUGAAGAAUAAUAAGAAAAUGUGGGAGGAAUGCUUGCCUCAUAUUGAAUUUGCUUAUAAUUGUUCAUUGCAUUCUACUAGUAACAUGUGCCCUUCUGAAGUUGUGUAUGGUUUCCUACCUCGUGCACCUAUUGAUUUGUUGCCUCUUCCAUCUUCGGAGAAGGUUAAUUUUGAUGCUAAACAACGUGCUGAAUUGAUUUUCAAAAUGCAUGAGUUAACUAAGGAAAACAUUGAGCGUAUGAACGCUAAAUAUAAACUUGCUGGAGAUAAGGGUAGAAAACAUGUUGUGUUUGCACCUGGAGAUCUUGUUUGGUUACAUUUGUGUAAGGAUAGAUUUCCUAAUUUGCGCAAAUCAAAGCUAAUGCCACGUGCUGACGGACCUUUUAAGGUGUUAGAGAAAAUAAAUGAUAAUGCAUAUAAACUUGAGCUGCCUGCAGAUUUUGGGGUUAGUCCCACUUUUAACAUUGCAGACUUGAAGCCUUAUUUGGGGGAGGAAGAUGAACUUCCGUCGAGGAUGACUUCAUUUCAAGAAGGGGAGGAUGAUGAGGACAUAAAUACCAUUGUUACACCCACAGCCCCUGCUGCUAUACAUACUGGACCAAUUACUAGAGCUCGCGCACGCCAAUUAAAUUACCAGGUACUUUCGUUUCUUGGUAAUGAUUCUAAUGUUCAUGAGAAUAUGAUGCUGCCUAAAUUGGAUACAUUUGUUUUGCUUACAAAUGAAGGGCCUAGCUUGGAGAAGGAUGAACAUUGGAGCAAGACCAAGCAUGGAGAUGAUGGCACGCGCAAGGGGAACAAGAACGGAGUUACAAGUGAUGAUUUCAGGACUUUGAAGCCACCAUGCCUUGGACGAAAUAUACAAGAUGUCACUUUAUAAAUUUCGUCCAGAGGCUAUUCUAGGUGUGGUGUCACCUUUUUAUUGGGCCAGGCCCACGUAAUUUCGAAAUACAUAAGUAUAGGCUAUUUUUAGAGUCUGUAUGUGUGGGGAAACAAGAGAUAGGGUUGGUUUCGGACCCCUCCACUAAGGGCCAGGAAAUUCCCCCCUCUUCCUCCAUAUAUACAGCCCUUAGGGCACCGUUUAGACUUUGGGUUUUGUUUAGAUUAAAAGUUUGCCAUAGCUGCAACUUCGCGUACUUCGUUUGUGUUCAACGACCAGAUCAAGACGUCACAGAACCCCAUCUUGAUCAAUAAAGCUUUCAUCUUAUAUUUGCAAUAUCUAGAUUGCAAUCUCAGUUUCUUGCUUGUUCUUCAUUUGCUCGCAGGAAAACAGACCCUCGUGGUCAGGUUGAUCGUGCUCCGGCAUGGUCAAUAACCCCUCGGAAGUUGGUUUAGUGAUUGCUAAGGCGUGACGUCUCGCACGUUCGUAGUCGGAUCGUCAAGGUCGACUCCCACAGAAAACGAUAGCCACCAUCUCAUCGAAACAUCGGGACACCUUUGCCUCUAUCAAGAGGCAGCCGACGUCAGGGCAGGGAGCGGCGACCAGUGUCGGGGCAGGGCUCGGCGUCAGGGCAGGGAGCGACGGUCGGCGUCGGGGCAGGGACGGCGUCGGGGGUGGCGACGAGGAACGGGCAGAGCAGCCUGGCGGCGUUGUGCUCUGGUUCGGCGUCGAGGGAGAGAAUGGGAGAGAUUUGGAGAAAUUUCCGAAGUGCUUGGUUAUAUACCCCCACCCUUUAGUCCCGUUUGGUGGCUCCAACAGGGACUAAAGGCCCCCCUUUAGUCCCGGUGAGAGGCACCAACCAGGACUAAAGGUGAAUUUCACGAGGCGAAAGGGCGGGAAGCCCAGUCCUUUAGUCCCGGUUGGUGGCUCGGAUCGGGACUAAAGGGGGGCCUUUAGUCCCGGUUGGAGCCACCAACUAGGACUAAAGGGCUGGUGCUUGCACAGUCGCGGGCCAGGGGAAGUUUACUCCCACCUUGCCAAGCAAAGCGCGCUCGCAGUGGUUUAUAAGCCCUAUUGUGACUUCCCUCUCGAGCUCCUCUCUAUUGCAAGCAGUACAUGCCUAACACUCUCUCUGCCCUGUUGGGCCUACUUUCCCUACGGGCCUGCAUCCUGGCUCAUGUAUAGUUGGGUUUGUAGUCGUAUGCAUGACGUGGUGGCCUAGUAGGAGGGCUUUUUAUUUUUUUAUGUUAUUUUUUGCAUAAGUUAUGUCAAUUUUUUGACCUUCUUAAAAACACAUUCUAAUUUUUAUACAUACUCACUUAUGUGUAAUGCACAUGAUUAUCAAAGAAUUUCAACAAAAUAUAUGAAAUUCUAAAAAAUAAUUUAUGAAAAAUUUUGCUAUUAAAGUUUUUAACAAAAAAUACUUUAUGAAAAUCAUAUUUUGAUCAUAACUAGAGGUUUAUAAAAGCUUUUUAGUUGAUUCUAUUAGCUAUUGAAGAAUAUUAUAGUUUUGUUUUAUUUGAUCAUAACAAAAUAUUUUAAUUGAUUAUUUUUAGUUGAUUUUGCUAUUAGAGUUUUAUAAAAGCUUUUUAGUUUACUACUAAAUUUUUUAACAAAAAUACUUUAUGAAAAUUCUUUUUGCUAUUAAAGUUUUUAACAAAAAAUACUUUGAUAAUUUUAGUUGCAUAAAUUUUAUAUAUUAUAAGUUAAUAUUAUUUUGAACAUAACUAGAGGUUUAUGAAAGUUGUUUAGUUGAUUCUUUUUGCUACUUAAGAAUAUUAUAGUUUUGUUUUAGUUGAUCAUAACAAAAUAUUAUAAAAUACUCUUUGUUAACCUAAUAAUGUUAUAUUUUCUUUUCUGUUAAGUAAUUAGUUUAACCUAAUACUUUUUGUUAAUCUAAUUUAUUUUGAUGCAUAGACACAUAGUGAAUCAAAAAAGGCGGCACCAUUGUUCUAUGUUAAGGAGAUAGACCAUUACUACAAAUCUUCUAGAUUUGUAGUAAGAGUUCAUAUCCUUAACAAAGGAUGUAAUGGUGUCAUAAGCUUAUCCCUUCUAGACGACCCGGAUAUUUAAGGUGGUCGACUAGCUCGUCACUUGACGAGGUGGGACUAAAUACGGGUGUGAAAAUCUACGGUAGGCCUUUAGUCCCAGUUCGUGCCACCAACCGGGACUAAAGCUAGGUUUUAGUUUAGUAUUUUCUUUUUUUUCAUGCAUUUAAUAAUUUUUUUGAGCUAAAUGACCUUGAAAUUGAAAAGCACUACAAAUGAACUCUGAAAAGGUUGAAACUUGGCAUGGUAUCAUAAUUUCACCCACAUAGUAUGUGCUAAAAAUUUUAGAGGGUUACAGCAAAAACCGGAUGCACUUCGUGUACAAACUGGACAAUCUCUUUCAAACUAUCAGGGUUUCGAACGAAAACUCAUCUACUACAAAGGCAAUUCAUUUUUUGACAUGUAACUGCAAUAAUACUCUAGAUCAUAUCCAUCUGAUAUGUUGUCUUCACUAGAGAGAAAGUCUUCACUUUUUUUCCGUGUGUGUCCCUUGCUUAUUGCGUUGUAACCAUGGAUAAUCUUCAUCGUUUAACAGGAUGCUUGGGUCAACCUUCACUUUGAAGGGAGGAAUUUCAUGAAACUUUUCAUAAUCUUCAGACAUGUCUGUCUGUCCUCCACUCCCACGAUGUUUCUUUUCCCUAAAAGAUCUAUGUGGCACUUUGGCUCAUCGUAUGAUGUAUUCGCUUCCUUAUCUUUUCUUUUUCUUGGUUUGGUAGACAUGUCCUUCACAUAGAAAACAUGCGCCAUAUCGUUGGCUAGGACGAAUGGCUUGUCUGUGUACCCAAGAUUCUUGAGAUCCACUGUUGUCAUUCCGUACUGCGGGUCUAUCUGUACCCGCCUCCUGAUAGAUUGACCCAUUUGCACCGUAACAAAGGGACCUCAAAUUCAUGUCCAUAGUCAAGUUCCCAUAUGUCCUCUAUGUAACCAUAAUAUGUGUCCUUUGCCCUAUUGGUGUUUGCUGCAUCAAAGCAGACACCACUGUUUUUGUUGGUGCUCUUUUUAUCUUGGGCAACCGUGUAAAAUUUAUUCCCAUUUAGCUCGUGCCCUUGGUAAGUCAAUACAGUCUAAGAUGGUGUCCUGGCCAACAAGUACAACUCAUCUCCAACAGUAUUGUUACGCAUGAGAUGUGUUUGCAACCAACCACCGAAAGUCUCAAUGUGUUCACGUGUAAUCCAGUCGUCAGACUGCUCCGGGUGUUUGGAGCGUAGAAUAUUCUUGUGUUCAUUGAUAUACGGGGCCACCAAGGUAGAAUUUUAUAGAACUGUGUAGUGUGCUUGCGCCCAAGAAUGCCCAUCCCUAGAUAUUAUUAAAUCCGCUCCUAGCGUUCCUUUUCCACUCAGCCUUCCCUCAUACCGCCAUUGAGGGAUACCAAUCAACUUAAGGUCAGGAAUAAAGUCAACACAAAACCCAAUGACCUCCUCUGUUUGAUGGCCCGUGGAGAUGCUUUCUUCUGGCCUAGCACAGUUACGAAUAUAUUUCUUUAAGACUCCCAUGAACCUCCCAAAGGGGAACAUAUUGUGUAGAAAUACAAGACCCAGAAUGGCAAUCUCAUCGACUAGGUGAACUAGGACGUGUGUCAUAAUAUUGAAGAAGAAUGGUGGGAACACCAGCUCGAAACUGACAAGACAUUGGACCAAAUCAUUUUGUAACCUUGGUAGGAUUUCUGGAUCGAUUACCUUCUGAGAAAUUGCAUUGAGGAAUGCACAUAGCUUCACAAUGGCUAAUCGAACAUUUUCUAGUAGAAGCCCCCUCAAUGCAACCGGAAGAAGUUGCGUCAUAAUCACAUGGCAGUCAUGAGACUUUAGGUUCUGGAAUUUUUUUUCUCUGCCAUAUUUAUUAUUCCCUUUAUAUUUGAUGAGAAGCCAGACGGGACCUUGAUACUGAGCAGGCAUUCAAAGAAGAUUUCUUUCUCUGCUUUGGUAAGAGCGUAGCUGGCAGGACCUUGAUACUGCUUUGGAUGCAUGCCGUCUUUUUGUUCACACGUUGUUGGUCAUCUCGUGCCUCCGGUGUAUCUUUUGUCUUUCCAUACAUGCCCAAGAAGCCUAGCAGGUUCACGCAAACAUUCUUUGUCACAUGCAUCACAUCGAUUGCAAAGCGGACCUCUAGGUCUUUCCAAUAGGGUAGGUCCCAAAAUAUAGAUUUCUUCCUCCACAUAUGUGUGUGUCCCUCAGCGUCAUUCGGAAUAGAUUGUCCCCAGGACCCUUUCCAAAGAUUACUUGUAAAUCCUUUACCAUAUCAAGUAUAUCAUCACCAGUACGGAGGACAGGCUUCUUCUGGUGAUCUGUCUCACCUUUGAAAUGCUUGCCUUUUUUUCUUAAGGCAUGCUUGGUCGGAAGAAAUCGAAGAUGUCUCAGGUACACAUUCUUCUUGAAUUUAUCCAAAUAUAUACUUUCAAUCUCAUCUAAAUAGUGUGUGCAUGCAUUGUAACCCUUGUUUGUCUGUUCUGAAAGGUUACUAAGAGCAGGCCAAUCAUUGAUGGUUACAAACAGCAAUGCUCGUAGGUCAAAUUCCUGUUGUUUGUGCUCAUCCCACACGCGUACACCUUUUUUACCCAUAGCUGUAAAAUUUCUUCAACUAAUGGCCUUAGGUACACAUCAAUGUCGUUGCCGGGUUGCUUAGGACCUUGGAUGAGCACUAGCAUCAUAAUGAAAUUCCGCUUCAUGCACAACCAAGGAGGAAGGUUAUAGAUACAUAGAGUCACGGGUCAGGUGCUAUGAUUGCAGCUAUGCUCCCCAAAAGGAUUAAUGCCAUCUGCACUUAAACCAAAUCAUAUGUUCCUUGCAUCAUCUGCAAAGUCCUGGCACUUUUCUCAUUUUUUCUCCACUGCGACCCGUCAGCGGGUACUCUCAACUUCCCGUCUUUCUUACGGUCUUCUUUGUGCCAUCGCAACAACUUGGCAUGAUCUUUGUUUCUGAACAGACGUUUCACCCGUGAUAUUAUAGGAGCAUACCACAUCACCUUGGCAGGAACCCUCUUCCUGGGGCGCUCGCCCUCAACAUCACCAGGGUCAUCUCGUCUGAUCUUAUACUGCAAUGCAGUGCAUACCGGGCAUGCGUUCAAAUUCUCGUACUCACCGCGGUAGAGGAUGCAGUCAUUAGUGCAUGCAUGUAUCUUUUGCACCUCCAAUCCUAGAGGGCAUAGAACCUUCUUUACUUCGUAUGUACUGUCAGGCAAUUUGUUAUCCUUUGGAAGCUUCUUCUUCAUUAUUUUCAAUAGCGAACCAAAUUCCUUGUCAGAUAAACCAUUGUCUGUCUUCCAUUGCAGCAAUUCCAGUGUGGUACCAAGCUUUGUGUUGUCAUCUUCGCAAUUUGGAUACAACCCUUUUUUGUGAUCCUCUAACAUGCAAUCAAACUUCAACUUCUCCCUUUCACUUUCUCAUUCUCUCUGUGCAUCAACAAUGACCCGGCGAAGAUCAUCAUCGGGCACAUCGGGUGCCUCUUGAUCUUCAGCGUCCCCCGUUGCAGUAUCACCGUAUUCAGGGAACAUAGGAUAGUUGUCAUCAUCCUCUUCUUCUUCAUUAUAUUCCAUCAUAACACCUCUUUCUCCAUGCUUGGUCCAAACAUUAUAGUGUGGCCUGAAACCCUUCUCAAGCAGGUGCAAGUGAAGGGUUUUUUAGUAGAGUAAUCCUUCGUAUUCCCACAGACAGUACAUGGACAAUACAUAAAACCUUUAUGCUUGUUUGCCUCAGCCACUUCAAGAAAAUUAUGCAGGCCCUCAAUGUAGUCGGAGGUGCGUCGGUCACCGUACAUCCAUUGUCGGUUCAUCUACGUGCAUUAUAUAAUUAAGUAUAUCAAAAAUCAUUACAGAACAUCAUGAAUAGAGAAGUGAUCAAAUUAAUACAAGUUCAUCAUCACAUUAAAACCAAAGUAUAAUAGUGACCAAAUGUUAUUACUGAAAAAAUAAAUACAUAAAGUUCACACGUAGUUCUCAUAGAACAAUAUAUAGCUCUUUAAAGCAUCUAAUUAAAACAUACAUUGAAACUAGCAUACAACUAUGUAAAACAUUUAAAUGCAACAAUAAAUGCGAUCAAAAUCGCAACUAAGAUAACAAUUGAUCCAAAAGCAUAAUGAUACCAAGCCUCAUUAUCAAUGGCAUAUUUUCUAAUCUUUCUAAUCUUCAAGCACAUUGCAUCCAUCUGGAUCUUGUGAUCAUCGACGACAUCGGCAACAUGCAACUCCAAUUUCAUCUUCUCCUCUUUAAUUCUUUUCAAUUUUUCUUUCAAAUAAUUGUUUUAUUUUUCAACUAAAUUUAACCUCUCGACAAGAGGGUCGGUUGGAAUUUCUGGUUCACUCCUAGAUAAAAACAUCUAUGUCAUGUUGGUCGGCAUAAUUGUCAUAAACACUAAAUGAAACAAAUAGUUAUAAAAGGUAAUAUACCGCAUCUGAAUCAUAGACCGGACGAGAGCCGAUGGGGGCGGAUACCAAAACCAUGGCACUAUAUAAUAACAAACAAUAAUAAAAGUAAGAAAAUUAUACAAGUAGCUACCUAAAUCAUACAAGUAAGAUUUUUUUCUUUUAAAAAGAUAAGAACAAGAUGCUCACCAAGGUGGUGCCGGCGACGAGAUCGGCGCGGGGGAUCGACGGCGGUGAGGACGGGGACGGGACGGCAGCGUACACAUGUGCAGACUCUAAGAAGUUAAUUUGAGCUCAAAUUGUGCAUCUAAAUCAAAAGAACUCCCACAUACACUCCUCCACUAAAACCCACAAACCACUCUACUUCUAGAGUAUUUGAAAUGAGUUAAACUAGCAGUGAGAGAUGAAAGGAUGAAGUUGCUAACCUUUUAGAACACUUGUGUAGUUGGUGCACCGCCAAAUCUAGACAAAUCUUGAGAAAAAUGUAGCUUGGGGAUUGGGCUUGAAGGAAGAAUAGAGGAGAAAGCUUAAGUCAGGCUUGGCCAUUUCAUCGAACACCUCAUGUGCAUAUAUAUAGGCGAAAAACAGAGUAGCCCACACCUCCACCCUUCCACGGCCANNNNNNNNNNNNNNNNNNNNNNNNNNNNNNNNNNNNNNNNNNNNNNNNNNNNNNNNNNNNNNNNNNNNNNNNNNNNNNNNNNNNNNNNNNNNNNNNNNNNNNNNNNNNNNNNNNNNNNNNNNNNNNNNNNNNNNNNNNNNNNNNNNNNNNNNNNNNNNNNNNNNNNNNNNNNNNNNNNNNNNNNNNNNNNNNNNNNNNNNNNNNNNNNNNNNNNNNNNNNNNNNNNNNNNNNNNNNNCUUUAGUCUCGGUUCCAGCCACCAACCAAGACUAAAGGGGUUGCACCAGGAUCGAGGCCCUUUAGUGACAGUUGGUGGCUGAAACCAGGACUAAAGGUCCCAGCCGAACCGGGACUGAUGUCUGUUGAGGCCUGGCCGGCGUCCUAGCCUCUCGAACCGGGACUGAUGCUCCCAUUAGUCCCGGUUUGUAACAUGACCGGGAAAUGCUCUUAUCUGGCCAGUACCAAAGCCUUGUUUUCUACUAGUGGCAGCUGGAUUGAUCAGUUCUUGAACUAGCUUAUCAUGUUUACAAUGGGAUUCACUAGGGCUGGCGUUGGAUAGCCGGCUAGCUUAGUAGCUUGUGUUCUUUUAACGAUUGUUCAACGGUUUUUGGUUCAGAAAAAUCCAACAUGCAGGGAUAUCACAUGAUAAAAUCAUCUUAUCACAAAGACACCUCAAGGUACCUGUGAUUACACACACUUGUACGUGUACCUUCAACGCUAGCUCGUGUACAUUAUAUAUAACAUAGCACGAAUGGAUGGAUGCCUUUAAGCAAAGGUAGGUAUUGCUAGGUAGAUUGUCUAGCGAUCGUUGCCCGUGCCUUCUCAUAGUAGCUCGAAUCACCCAUCGAGGUCUAUCCAGCUCCGAGAUGCCCGUGCCACACGUAGUCUUCGUGCAUCCGUCCCAGAAACAGACUACCCACCCGCAGUCUGCAGCGUCUUCUUUCUGAGUUGAUAGCGAGCAUUGCAUGCAACUCUAGCCCAAAAUCAUCCAUCUUACUGUACCCCGGCGGGCCUUAUAUAUUGCCUGAGAUGCGUCCAAUAGCCCUACGACCUUCCUUCUGCACUGCACUGCAUUGCAUUGGUCUGAUCCAUCGAGAAAUGUUUUGGCUUGCAUAUGCUCUCGUUUUUCUCGGAUGCCUUGGCCUGCCUCCGGCUGAUGCUGCCGUUGUCGAGCACACAUUCUCUGUACGUGACUACUACUACUAAUCUCUUUGCAUGCAUGCCAUCCAUUCCCCUGCGGUUCAACCUGCGUGCACAUUUCUGCGGUGCACUGCUGAUCGACAGCCAUUUCAUAGCGUUGACGGCAUCGAUGGGAUCGUUGCAAUGCAUAUGCGCAGGUGGGCAACCUGACGAUCGAUCGGCUGGGGCAGCGUCAGGUAAUCACGGCGGUGAACGGGCAGUUCCCCGGGCCCAUGCUGGAGGCUCGCGAUGGCGACGCCGUCGUGGUGCACGUCGUCAACUACUCCCCCUACAACAUCACCAUCCACUGGCAUGGCGUCCUCCAGCGCCUCUCCGGCUGGGCCGACGGCCCCAGCAUGGUGUCGCAGUGCCCCAUCCGCCCCGGCGGCGACACCUACACCUACCGCUUCAACGUCACCGGCCAGGAAGGCACGCUCUGGUGGCACGCCCACGUCUCCUUCCUCCGCGUCACGGUCUACGGCGCGCUCCUCAUCCGUCCUGGCCCCGACAGACCCCACUACCCCUUCCCCACGCCCUACGGCGAGGCCACUCUCCUCCUCGGCGAGUGGUGGAAUGCCAGCGUCGUCGACGUCGAGAGGCAAGCCAUGCUCACCGGCGGCCCGCCCAACAACUCCGUCGCGCUCACCAUCAACGGCAUGCCCAGCGGCUACGAGCUGGUCGUGCGACACGGCCAGACCUAUUUGCUCCGCCUCGUCAACGCUGCGCUCAGCUACCAGCUCUUCUUCAAGGUCGCGGGCCACGCUUUCACGGUCGUCGCCGCCGACGCCUGCUACACCGACCCUUACGACACGGACGUCAUCGUCCUCGCUCCGGGUCAGACGGUGGACGCUCUGAUGCGCGCCAACGCCUCCCCGGGCCGCUACUACAUGGCCGCCCAGGUCUACCAGAGCGUGGCCAACGCCACCUACACCACCACCACCACGGGGCUCCUCCGGUACGAGCACGGUGCAGAAGCAGCUGGUAUGAGUACGAUCAUGAUGCCGAGCAUGCCGGAGUUCAAAGACAGCGUGACGGCACAGGACUUCUACGGCAGCCUGACCGGCCUGCUGCGAGACGGCAAACCGACAGUUCCCCUGCACGUGGACACGCGGAUGCUGGUCAUCUACGGGCUGGGCAUCGCGCCGUGCAUGCCAACGCAGACGCUGUGCAACCGGACGCGCGGCUCCGUGGCGGCCAGCAUGAACAACGUGUCGUUCCAGCUCCCCAAGGCCAUGUCGCUGCUGGAGGCGCGCAUGAGGGGGAACGCCGACGGGGUGUACACCCGCGACUUCCCCGACAGGCCGCCGGUGAUGUUCGACUUCACCAACGGCUCCAUGAGCAACAACAGGAGCGUGAUGCUGACGUCCAAGGGCACCAGGGUGAAGAGGCUGCGGUUCAACACGACGGUGGAGGUGGUGCUGCAGAACACGGCCGUCCUGGGGUCGGAGAACCACCCGCUGCACCUGCACGGCUUCAACUUCUACGUGCUCGCGCAGGGCGCCGGCAACUUCAAGGCGCGCACCGCGGUGCGCGCCUACAACCUCAUCAACCCACAGCAGCGCAACACCGUCGCCGUGCCGGCCGGUGGGUGGGCGGUCAUCCGCUUCACGGCAGACAACCCAGGUGUAUGGGUCAUGCACUGCCACUUGGACGCUCAUUUGCCUUUCGGGCUAGCAAUGGCGUUCGAGGUGGACGACGGCCCGACCCCGAACACCGUUCUUCCUCCGCCGCCGCCGGACUACCCCCAGUGUUAGAAGAUUGACCAUUCAUGUCUAGCCAACAACAGAUUCUCCUUCACACUGCUGUUUAUUAUCCUUAUGGGGCUGUUUGAAAUGGGUGUAAAAUUAGUGUAGUCACCAGUAUUUGGUUCAAAGUCAAGUUAAAUACAAGUGGCCACGCUAAUUUUACAAUCAUUCCAAGCGGGGCACAUAAUUUACUACUGAUUUCUAAGGUACACAUUUAUAAUUAAGGCCAAUAAAUGGAGAGAAAAUCUAUGCAUAUGAUUUACAAGUACCUAAUCCUGAUACUAUUUGUUUAAGAUAGUAGUAUUACUCAGAGUUUGACUUUACAAAUGUCGAAACAAUAUAGUAUGGGAAACGCUUAUAUCCGGUCGGCCGGCGGAACUUUGCGCCGGUCGCCUCGCGCUGUUGCUCAGCUGGCUUCUCAUGCAUGCCAUGUGUGCAUAGAGCCCACCCACCUUUUUGUCCGGGAUUUUUACCCUCAAUCGGUAUCCAGACGUUUCUUAUCUACACAUUGCCUUAUCUCUUCUCCAAGCGGCCGAGCUCAUCCCCAUCCUCGGUUUCUUCUCUUCAGCCAUGGCCACCCGCUCACUCAAUCCUGCCACAAGCCAUGGCAUGACCACCAUGAUGCGAGACGGAGGUGCACCACGUGCUGCAACCGUGAGACUGGGGUGCUACCACGGCGGCCACCACGCACUGCAAUUCGUGGAGGUCGGGUGUGCGUGAAGACGGUGACCAGCAACAACGGAGACCACCAGCACCGCGGGCGACGGUGACCCGGGGAUGCUCCGUGUGCUGCAACCGCGGUGACGGGGCGCAUCCCGGGGAGACGGCGAUGCUGGAACUAGCUGCCGUUUUUGCUGCAACCAGCCGGUGAAGGCGCUGGAACCAGCGCCGCGGUGGCUGUGCGGCGAUGCUGAACCACGGUGACAAGUGCGGGGAGAUCCGGCGACAUUUUUUUUGUUGGAACCAUGAUUUGAUUUUGCUGGAACCAGCUCGAAUUUUUGCUACCAGCAUCUUCUGUUUUUGUUUGAAACCAACCAAAUUUUUUGCUACCACGUUUUGUAUUUGCUGGAACCAGUGUAUCAAUUUGCUACCACCGUCUUUGAUAUUUGCUGGAACUAACCAAAUUUUUGCUGCCAUGUUUUUUUGCCGGAACCAUUUGUAUCACCUUUGCUACAACCGUAUUAGAUUUUUGCUACUAUCGGCGCUGUCGAUUGUUACAUCCGUCUUUUGAUGAAUCAUGAGGUUGCCGAGACCCGGGACUAUGUAUUCUUUGCUACAACCGUUAUCAAUUUUUGCUACUACCGGUGUUCAUUGUUAUUUUCAUGCACAUACAAAGAAAAACUUGAGCAACAACGACCAUCGAGGGUGGCGACGAGUUUUUCGACGGGCGUGGGAUGCUGCAAGGAGCAUCGACCCAGGGGCGCCACGGCGCCUUGCCGGAGCGCACGGGCGCGUCAACUGUGUGCAAGUUGCGCGUCGGUUGGCGCAGGAGGGUUUUUUUUGUUCGUAUAUGCGUGACUGAAGUACGGGAAGGCAUCUCCACGGGAUCAGACGGCCCUGGUUCGGCCAAUCGGACGGCUGAUAUGGGACCGGCCGAAAUUUCGGCCGGUGCACCGGCGCCUAGUACUGGCCAUAUAGUAUUCCUCUGUUUUUUUUAGUCUGCAUAUAAGAUUUGGUCAAAGUCAAACUUAGUAAAGUUUGAUCAAUUUUAUAGAAAAAAUAUCAACAUCUACGAUACUAAAGCUAUAUGGUAUGAAAAUUAAUUUCAUGAUGCAUCUAACAUUAUUGAUUUCAUAUUAUGAACUUUGAUAUUCUUUUAUAUAAACUUAGUCAAAGUUAACAAAGUUUGACUUUGACCAAAACUUAUAUGCGGAUUAAAAAGAAACGGAGGGAGUACCCCCUACCUUUACAUGUCAGGGAGUAUGGCGAGUCUAAUCUUAUUCUUAAGACAGGGGCAAUCCAAAGCUAAGACAGUGCCAACUAAUGUCUUUCGCGCGCUCGGCACACACAAAAAAAACUAAUGAAAGGUAUAAUAAUCAAGCAACCCAGAGCAAGACGGUUAUAGAGAAUUAGAGGCUCAGUUUCGCCAGAUGAGAAUGGUAUGGGUUGUGCGAACUAGGGGAACGUCUUGCCUUGCUUAGGCCGACGGGUUUGUGUUAAUAUAGAUGGGGCGCACCUCCCAUGAUAGCGCAUACAUGUGGUUGAGAUUACAAUCUUGUAGAUCAAGGAAGGAGAUAGAGAUAAGAGGUUACAUGAGAUAAACACAAUACCCUAACAACCUAACUUAUCUCCUAUGCCGCAUAUCUCUGGGCUGGGCGUACGUGACAUGUUUAACACCCUCCCUUAAUCACAACUUCAUUAAGUUGAGAUUAUACUUGAAGUUCUCAAAGCUUUUGAUAGGCAGUGCCUUUGUGAAUCCAUCUACAAUUUGAUCUCUGGAAUGCACAAAGGACGUGUUCUGUUACAUUGCCAAUUCAGCCUGGCCCGGCGAGCCUGGCUCUAUUGAGCCGGUUUGAGGGGAUGCACGCAAAAAAAACCAGAUGCACAUAGUUUGGUUGCAUGCAUGCCCCUAGUUGCAUGAGACAACCAUUUUUGACCCGGCGUUUGGUUGUCCGCAUUGCAUUAGGCGCACAUAUGACAUGGUGUUUGGUUGCAACCUGCAUAAGGUGUUGUCGCCACUUCUAAAUAAUGGUGACCUUACCACACACAAUGUGAACAUAGUGCCAGCUAGUUAAACAAAUGACAGUUCAUCCUAACUACUAUCAAAUGACAGUUCAAAUUAAUAAGAGCCAUUGGCUAAAUAGGGGGUAGUUCAUCGGUGUUGCUGCUACCAGUUCUUCCUCUUCCUCUUCUGCUUCUGCUGUUGCUGCUUCUUCUUCCUCCUCCUCUUUUUCAAAUUCUGCACUGACCUCUGUUAAGCCACAUUGCCUCUGCCCACUCCAACCUUUUGUUCUUCCAAGCGUCAUUAUCAAAUGCCUCCACACCAUGGCCAGAGCUAACAACAUCGUCAGGCUCGACCUCUUCCUCCUCAGGCACGUGUUCAUCAAAGCCCCACUGGAGGAUCCAGUUAUGCAGAAUGCAACAAGCAAGAACUAGCUUAACCUGAGUGGAGUAUGGGUGGAAUGGCUUCUGAUCCAGGAUCUUAAACCUAUUUUUCAGAGCUCCAAAUGCCCUCUCAACAGUUACUCUAAGGCUGGAGUGUCUGAGAUUAAACAGCUCAUGUGCAGUCCUAGGAAAGUUCCUACCAGAGAAUUCAUUGAGAUGGUACCUUGUUUUCCUAAAGGGUGGAAGAAUACCCGGCCGACAUGCAUAGCCAGCAUCUCCAAGGUAGAACUUGCCGUCGGGGAUGUUGAUCCCAUCAGGUCGACUCAUGCUGUCAGUGAGAAUGUUAGCAUCAUGCGCUGACCCUUCCCAGCCAGCCAGCACAUAUGUGAACUUCAUAUCAAAGUCAACAGCAGCAAGAACAUUCUGGCUUGUGUAGUGCUUCCUCCCCCUGUAUGUUGCAGACUAUGACCUAGGAACUCUGGCAGUGACAUGAGUACCAUCUAUUGCCCCAAUGCAAUCCUGAAAAUGGCAUCACUAGCCUAUGUUAGUGCUCAACUUGAACAAUACAAGCAUAUCAAGCCAUGAAAAGUGUAUAUUGUCAAUGCUCACCUUAAAGUAUGGAUACCAUCUUGGGCUUCCGCGAAUCUUGGGUGGAGUCUGGCCAGAUGGUCUCCUGAUCAUCUCUCCUCUAAGCUCCCCAACAGCAAAGCACUUGCUUGAACUACCUAGAGAUGGUCUCCAUUGAUCUCCUGAACGUGUUGUGAAUGACCCUGAACCUCUGGUUAUGGCCAACAACAUGCAGGAACAUGGCCACUUGCUCUUCGACACUGGUGUUGAUGCUAUCUUGUAACAGGCCCAUGCUCCUGAAGGUCUCGACAAGCCUGGCAAAUGGUGCUCUUUUCAUUCUAAGCAUCCACAGAGCCUCGACGUCAUUGCAGUUGUAGAUGUAGUUCAGAUUUAGAUCCUCUCCUAUUCCCGGGGAAACAAUGGACCAUAGCAGAUCAAAGGUCUCCCAGCACGAUGAACAGCUCUCUGGUGCAUGAACAUGACCCAUGCCUGAAUCACACUAAUCAGUGUUGCUGCUUGGAUUAUCAGCCUCAUCCGUGCGUCCAUAACCUAGUCGACAUCGACGGUUCGUUCAGUGGGAAAUCGAUCCUACACCUAGCUUAACGGGCUAACAAAGGGGGAGGGGGUGCUGCUUACCCGCAUCGGAGAUGAGGACGGCGUAGGGGGGGCCAUGGCACAUGCUAGGUCGACCACACGGUGGCCAACAGCAAGGGGAGCACUAGAUCCGCCACGAACGUCGCCGCCUCUUCCGUCGCCGCCUAUAGCGCAGAUCUAAAAUCACAACCGCCGCCGGUGGUGAGGCAGUAGGGAAGAAAGGGAGUCAGUGGCUAUGGGUGAGUGAGUGAAAGGGGGUGAGGCUAAUUUGGCGCCGGGACGGCGCGCCAGAUUUCCAUCUCCCGCCAUCCCCCCUCGCCCUCGCCUCGCUCCCGCCCGUGCGACCUCGCGCCGCACUCAGCCUAGCUCACGAGAAACUGUCGAUCCGAGCGUUUCCAGCGAGCCAGGCUCUGGGCUGCUUUGAGAAGCAUGUGAUGCAGGCCCAACAGGAAAACCAGGCAACCAAACAGGCCUCUCCCUUCCCGUGCGGGCCUGGUUGGGCUCGAUGCGGGCAACCAAACGCGCCCAAAAUGAUGUCAAGUUGCUUCAGAGCAACUCUCUCUCUCUGAGAAAGUGAAAAUCUAUUUCAAUGUGUUUUGUCCUGGCAUGAAACACUGGAUUAGCUGAAAGAUAGGUAGCACCAAGAUUAUCACACCACAGACAUGGAGUUGUUUACUCUUCAUGCCAAGCUCCUUUAGCAUGGACUGCACCUAAUAUGAUUUCAGCUGUGGCAUUUGCCAAAGCCUUAUACUCUGCCUCAGUACUAGACCUGGAAACUGUAGCUUGUUUUCGAGCACACCAUGAUAUCAAGUUAGGUCCAAAGGAAAUAGCAAAACCACCAGUUGAGCGUCUAGUCAUCAAGGCAUCCUGCCUAGUCAGAGUCAGAAAAAGCUCUGACAAGAGUAGACGAUGAUUUGCUGAAGUUUAGACCCGUAGUUAAUGCAUUUUUGACAUUCUAACUAUCCGUUUGGCAGCAGUCAAAUGAACAGUUGUAGGUGCAUGAAGGAACUGACAUACUUUGUUAACAGCAAAAGAAAUAUCAGGUCUGGUGAGAGUGAGAUAUUGAAGUGCUCCUACCAAACUCCUGUAUUUAGUGUUGUCCUCUUGAUUCAAGAGAAUUCCUUCUGUGAGAGAUAAUUUUUCUGAGCUGGAUAGUGGAGUAGGUGUAGGUUUAGCUGGAUAGUGGAGUAGGUGUAGGUUUACAACCUUGCAGGCCAGCCUUUCUUACCAAGUCAGUUGCAUACUUUUCUUGAGAGAGAUGAAGUCCAUCUUUGUGCCUCUUUACUUCAAUCCCAAGAAAAUAAUGCAAGUCUCCAAGGUCCUUUAGAGCAAAAUUUGCACUCAAAUCUUUCAAGACUCCUGUGAUAGCUUCAUCGGAUGAGCUUGUCACAACUAUGUCAUCAACAUAUAUUAAAACAAAUAUGCAUGUAUUGGACUUGUUGUAGAUAAAUAGAGAGGUGUCAGACUUUGAAGGAACAAAACCAAGUGUUUGCAUUUUGUGACAGAGACGGGAGUAGCAUGCCCUUGGAGCCUGUUUCAGUCCAUAAAGUGUCUUGUCCAAUUUGCAGACAUAAGAGGGAGCACUUUUACUUUCAAACCCAGGAGGUUGUUUCAUAUAUACCUCCUCUUCCAGAACACCAUAGAGAAACGCGUUUUGUACAUCAAGCUGUCUGAGACUCCAUCCCCUAGAAAUAGCAAUAGACAAAACAAGACGGAUAGUGGCAACUUCAACAACUGGACUAAAGGUGUCCUCAUAGUCUAUGAUAUACCGUUGCUUAAACCCCUUUGCAACAAGCCUAGCUUUGUAGCGAUCAAUGGUUCCAUCAGAUUUCCUCUUAAUUCUGAAUACCCAGUUGCAAUCAAUUAUAUAUUUACCUUGUUGUGGAGGAACCAAGUGCUAAGUUUUAUUUUUCUUAAGUGUCUUGUAUUCUUCAUUCAUGGCAUUCUUCCACUUUUCAUCACCAAGUGCCUCCUCGAGUGUAUGUGGUUCACCUGUAGAACAAACCAUACCAUAUUUGGUUAUGUGUUUAUAAUUAAUAGGUUGUAUUACCCCAUGUUGUAGUCUUGUAUGGUGUGAUGAUGCAGCAACCAGAUCAAUAGCCAUAGAGGAUCCUGGGACAGAAACUCCUGUAGCAGAAUCUGAGACAGGAAGAUCUUCUGUGGCAGCUUGUGCGGGCACUGCAUCUCCAGUUGGCGCAGAAGACCCCGACGAGGGGGGCUCAUCAUUGGCUGAUGAUGGCGUGUCCGCCUUGAGCCAUAUGUCGGUCGCGCGCGUGGGCGCGCUGGAGACCGCGCCAGAUCCUGCGUCAACCCUGAGCCCCGCACCAUUUGGGCUCGAGUCACGCCGCUUGUAGUGGAGCGGCUGGUCGCGGAAUCACGCGUCGUCCGGGCGAGUGGUGCGCUGGCACGUGUCGAGCGGAGAUUGGCUCAGGGAAGGACAUGGGCCGCCGCCACUAGAAGUAGGCCGCAUGGCGCACGCUGGGCUGGAGAAAGCGACGCGGUCGACGAGCGCUGUCGCUGGCGCAUCUGACGCGCUUGCCGCUGCGGAUCCCGAGGAGGAUCGGCUGCGCUGCUACUGCAUAACAGAUCCCGAGGAGGAUUUUCCUCCCAGAUUCGGGCACAUGCAAUAUGAGUCUGCUGGCGCGUUUUUUCACCAUUUUCAUCGUUUUCUUUGUUGUUUUCUCAUGUAGCAUCAUCAGAAAACUCAUGCACGUCAUUAGUAGCAGGAUUAGUCAACGAUUGAUCAUCAUAAUUCGGCCCCCCUUGAUCAAUGUUGGUGAGAUGAGAGGGUAGGAGAAGAAUUUCUUCUCGAAGACGGGCGCCGGCGUUUGGAUGUAGAUCAACGAAUGAAAAUUUCGUUUCAUCAAAAACAACGUCACGAGAUAUAUAAACGCGACCACUGGAUACAUCUAGGCACUUGACACCUUUGUGUUGAGGACUAUACCCUAGGAAGACACAUUGUUUAGAACGAAGCAUGAGUUUGCGAUUGUUGUAUGGACGAAUAUUGGGCCAACAAGCACACCCAAAAACACGAAGGGAUUUGUAGUCUGGUUUUGUGUGGAGGAGUCUUUCUACCGGAGUUUCAUUGUUGAUGACUCAACUAGGAAGCAUAUUGAUGAUAUGAACAGUGGUGAGAAAAGCCUCAUCCCAAAACUUGAGAGGCAUGGAGGCUCCUGCCAAGAGAGCGAGCCCAACUUCGACUAUGUGUCUGUGCUUGCGUUCAGCAGAGACGUUUUGCUGAUGAGCAUGAGGACAUGAAACAUGGUGUGAUAUGCCAAGUGUUUCGAAGAAGGAGUUUAAUUUUUCAUAUUCCCCUCCCCAAUCAGAUUGAACGACAAUGAUUUUACUAGCAAAUUUGCGCUCAACCAAGGCUUGGAGUUUUGAAAAACUUGAAAAACAUCGGAUCUCUUCUUAAGAAGAUAAAUCCACACAAACUUGCUAUAGUCAUCAAUGAAGCUCACAUAAUAAUCAUGUCUACCAACGGAUGUAGGGGCAGGACCCCACACAUCAGAGAAAAUUAAUUGAAGAGGUUUGGUAGAGACAGUAGUAGAUAUUGGAUACGAUAAUUGAUGACUUUUAGCACACUGACAAGAAUCUCAAAUAGUUUCAACAUUGUGCUCACUAACAAACGGGAGCUUAUUUUUCCUAAGCAAUUUUUCAACUAGAGAAAAAGCAGUAUGUCCUAGACGAUCGUGCCACCGUGUUGAUGAAACUUUGACAACACCAUUGGCUUGUUUAUUGGACCUCCUAAGCUCUGGAAUCAACGGGUAAAGCCUUCGAACACAUCUACCUCGAUAGAGUACUUUCUUCAUUGCCUGGUCCUUGAUCAAAAAGUAGGGAUGAAAUUCGAGGAAGACAUGAUUAUCAAUGGCAAUUCUAUGAACGGAGAGAAUAUUUUUAGCAGCACUAGGAACAUGCAAGAUUCUCUUAAGAUGAAUUUUAUGAUGAGGGGUACAAAAAAUUGAUUGACCAACAUGACAAAUCUGCAUACCUUCUCCACUUGCCGUGUGGAUAUGAUCUUUGCCAUGGUACUUCUCCUUCAUUGUGACUUUCUCAAGUUCAUUGGUGAUGUGAUUUGUGGCACCACUAUCAACAUACCAAUUUGUAUCAACUCCAUAGGAGCCAUCAGCCGCGGCAGCCACCUUGUCUUCAUCUUGAGAAUCAUCGUCAUCUUCGUCAUAGCGGUACCAAUAGUUUUUCGCGGUGUGCCCUGGCUUACCACAAAUCUGGUAGCGUGGCAUCUUUGGUUGGGACCGGUUGGAGCCGCCACCACGGCGACUUUUGGACGCGCCAGAUCGUCCGUUAGAGCUGUCACCACCGCUGUUGCCGCCGCCAUCGUGUCCUCCAGAUCUCCCCUUGUUGUGGGAAGAGCUACGGGCGCGGGAGCUACCACCACGGUCGCGCACCGCGACGUUGGUGGAGGAGCGAAAACCGUCGCCCGAGUUGUUGAAUUGGGCCAUGCGCUGGUCGAAGUUGCUCAGCAUGGCGUAAGUUCGUCGAGGGAGACCGGCGUGACGCGUGCAUCGAGGGCAGAGACGAGGGGAUGGUAGUCGACCUCCAUCCCGUGGAUGAUGUAGGAGAUGAGCUCGUCGUCCUAGAUGGCCUUCCCUACAGCUGCAAGCUCAUCGGCGAGGUCGCGGAGGGAGGUGAAGUAGGCAACAACCGUCUGGUUGCCCUUCUGUGCAUUGAUGAGCGUUGUCCAGAUGUUAUUCACGUGGCUCAUGGACUGUGACGAGAACAUACGUGCCAGCGUAGCCCAGAGCGCGUGUGCUGUGGUGACCGUGCUCACCGCGAUGAGCACUUCUUUUGAUAGGGUGCUGAGCAAAUAUCCCAACACCUGUUGAUCCUCACGGACCCAGAUUGGGUGGAGAGGGUUGGGCGCAGAGCUUUCUUUGCCAUCCUUAUCCUUGGUGACAAGAAUCCUGGCCGGCUUCGGCGUGGUGCCGUCGACGUAGCUGAAUACACCGGCGCCACACAGAUGGGGGCUAACAUGCGUGCGCCACAACACGUAGUUCGUGCAUGUUAGCUUCUCGGUGACCUGACCAUUGAGGGUAGGUUGGAAGGAGCCGGAGGAAGAAGACAUGGCUAGGCUCGAGGUAGAUGGGAUCUCAGUAGAUGGGAAGAGAUGGGGCUCUGAUACCAUGUGCCAACUGGCGGAACAUCUUGCCUUGCUCAGGCCGACGGGUUCGUGUUAACAUAGAUGGGGCGCACCUCCCAUGAUAGCGCAUACAUGUGGUUGAGAUUACAAUCUUGUAGAUCAAGAAAGGAGAUAGAGAUAAGAGGUUACAUGAGAUAAACACAAUACCCUAACAACCUAACUUAUCUCCUAUGCCGCAUAUCUCUGGGUUGGGCGUACGUAACAUGUUUAACAUGGGCAUCCCAUUUCUCCCAUCAGCUGCAGAUUGGAAAGCAAACAUGGACUCUAACCAUGAGUUGGCCUUCUAAGUAGAAGAAGGGCAACCGGCCAAGGGUAGGAGCAGAGCACAGAGGUAAGGAGCAGCAAGCCCACAGAUUCAGGUUGAGAUAGGCAGAGGGGACAAAUGCAAUUUGAAGUGUCUCAACGUCUGCUUAACUAAAACUAUCGAUCCCCAUGAAAUUUACUCUUGAUGUACAAAAGAAGUAAGUAUUGUACAAUGUUUGUGCCACCCCAUGGAAAAUUUAGUGAAGUAACUAGUACCGCAUUAGGCAAAAAUUCCAACUCGGAUUACAUAAGACAAAAUCAUGCACUGUGUAACUCUAAUUCUUCUAGGGAUGAAAAGCAACACCAGUAGCAACUACAAUGAUGGAUCAUGAUACACUAUAGGCUUCGUUUUAAUGUGUACCUUCACUAUACACCAGUAGUACAAUAUGAACUACUUUAAAGCUAAAUAACACAGCAAAAGGGACAGAAACAUAAACUUUAAAACUUUAAAAUAUACAAUUGGGCACAAUUUUAUUUUCUUGUGCUUUGCCAACAUCAAGCACUAGCCAUGGCCCUUGAAAUGAGUACAAGGCAACUAUUCAUGAAACAAAUUAGUCAGAUGUGACAAGUGAAACCAGUGAUGCCCAUCAAUCAUCUAAUUUUCAUAAUAUGUGUGUAAAACCACAAACCAUGGCUAAUAAGGUAACAAGGAAAUGUCUGAGCAAAUACAGACAUAACAAGAUUGAACCUCAAAAGGUAUGUCAUAUAGAAUAGUGGGCAUGCAAAGCAAACAAGGAACCUGUGGUCAUACAGGUUGAUCACUAUAUACAUUAAGCAUGGGCAUAAGGUUUCUAAGCAUCACAAGGUUGUGUUAAUAAUAACUCCAAAACAUCUCAGCUAAUGCAUCACGGGGCAUAUAUUUCAACUCAAACACAAUACCACAUUUGGAACAGGAUUUGAAAAUUUGUGGCCACUUGAGCAGACAUAUAGUUUCUGGAUGGAAAGAAACCUUUGUAAAUGGUUAUGAUGUAAAAGGCAAAAGAACUUGUUUUGCACCAAUGGCAAUGAAAGGGAUAAUACCCAGAAAUCAAAAGGGAUCAUCCUUCUUUACGACUCACUUCCAUUGGCAUCUAAUAUGCACUGACAGGCACCAAUAGCAUCAUCGGUCUACAUUCAUGUGUCAUGGUGGGGUGGUAAUGGUAGUAAUCUACUCAUAUAAGCAUUAUAGGGAUAACCUGUAUCAUAGUACUCUGCUCACCCACAGUGAAGAAAAAGUACUCUACUUCUGAUAAUUGGGUCAAGGCCUUUCAUUGAUGAGACACUUAUUUUGGGAUAGAGAGAGUAUGUUUCUUUGUUUUUUCUAGGUCAGCUAUAUCAGCUGCUUACCGAAAAAGGGUUUUCCCCCGCUUUGUAUUCCAAAGCACCAUAUCAGCUGCUUAUAACUCCAUUUAUUUUUAUUUUUGUAUCAUAACAUUUUAAAUUUUGUAAAACAUAAAGUACGGAGAAAUCCUCCCUGGUUCUCUAAAAAAAACUGUAUCAUAGUAAAUACUAACUCCGUCUCAAAAUGUAAGGCAUUUUUGUAAACUAGUUUAGCCUACAAAAACAUUUUACAUUUUGAGACGUAGGUGGUAGUAUUUUGCAUACUGUCUCUGCACUAGGUAGCUACUAGUAUUCCUUUCUUCUCUCAGAGUCAUAGUCUCAUGUGAUGUUGUUGAAAGAAAUCUGGUUGUUUCACCCUCACGGUGGGUGGUGUAACGCCCCGGCCAAAGCCAACGGUCCUGGCCGUUACGCCUCGCAGGAUGUAGACUGGCCAAGAGACCAACACUAGUCUUUUCUGCGCACUUAGUCCUCACUGGUGCGCACCCGAGAUCAACUUUCAAGUUUAUCACCCAUCCUCAAAUUGCUCCAAGCCAAAUACACUUAACUUUGAAGCUCUUUGCGAAUGAGCUCCCAGAAAAGAAGGAAUUCCUUAUUGAUAUGAGUAGUUUCUAUCACUUCUAUUAAAGCUAGGCUCUCACGGGUGGCCUAAAAAGGCUUUUAGCUAAUGCACUAGUAGGAUCAAAUGUGCUAAAGUAUAUGUUGGGUGACAUGGGUGGGGUAGGAAGCAGCAUAAAUGUCUGGUAAAAGGGGAGGCAAAGCUUUUAGAGAUGUGCACUCUUGAUGGAUCAAAUAGUGUACCAUGAAUCAUUCACUUCAAAUCAUACUGUUUAUUCUGCUUCAGUGUGUCCACAAAAUUAAAUGUACACGAUGAAAGUAGCAAAGCAGAGCAGAGAGGUCCUUGUCCUGGAAGAUUCUACUCCACACCAAAUAUUUCCUGCCUCGGUGAAAUUCAAGAAGCAAGAAACAGUAGUAAUGGAUCCUAUCAGCCACCGAAACAUCGUUACUUGAAAAACAGGUUAAGAUUUUUGUUGUGGUACAACCGUACAAAGCUUACAAAAAUCCUAAGACCACUCCAAAUGUGUUGUUGACAGGACAAAACAUGAAAUCUACAUCUAAAACAAUUCAAUGUAGAAAGAUCAGUCAAAUAAUUAAGAACAUGUGGGGAAAAAUGUGUCGACAGGAUGAAGUAGCCAAAACAAGAGUGAAAACAGAAAGCCAUUAUGUAGUUACAUACUUCCUUAUAUUUUGGCACUCAAAUAUUCCAAAAAAAAUACAUUGGGCUUCAUAUUUUCACAGUAAGAACUAUCACCAGCAGUUGGACAUGAUAAACACAUGCCCAAGUGCCCACGGGAGGGACAGAAUCUAUAAGUACCUUCCAUCUCAAUUCUCUGAUGACAAAGGUUCUAGACUCCACCCCUUUCUACAUAAGUAGCUCAAGAAUGCAUCCAAAGGGAUCGCACUGAUCCAUUCUACCUCAGCAAUAAGAAAGGAUCAUCCGAUCCUUCAGGAUGUCUACUCAAGCCAUUUUCUCAAAGACAUAUUCUGCCAUUUGCUCUCAAGACAUUCUGGUCCUGGAGCUGGCUCGGAGAUGGUACCACUGGUAUUUUUGCGAUGUUUAUCUUCUCUAUUCACUUUAACAGACAACAUUAUGUAGGAUCUUCAUAUUAUCAAAAUAUCAAUCAUGUAUGAUAUUCUGAUAUAACCAAUCCAUACGUGUCUCUCCCCACCCCAUAUGCUUUUCAUCUGGACGCCUGUUUUCUAGUUUUAAGCUUGUUGGUUGAAAACUCUCAUCUUAGAACUGUAUCUCCCUCUCUUACUCUCAGCUGGAAGCCACAAGUAUCUAUGAAGCCAGUAAUUUGAACCCCAACAGGAACAUCAGAGGGAACCAUCCACACAAGGAGAGUGUGGAAACGUAGAAAUUUACAUGAUGCAAGAGAUGGGCAGGAACAAAGAAGGCAAACAAAUUUAUCAAAUCUGUGUAAUGACAUCACAACAGUGUGUGUGUAUUAGUCUUCCAAAGUAGUAAUAACCCGUAUAUUUAGCAACUUUUUUCAUAGGACCAGCCAGCACAAAUACCUACGAUUCUGCACACUUCUAUAUUGGCUCAAGAACAUCACAUCUGCAUUAGUUAUGACUGAUGCAUCAGUAGUGCACUUUAUGCUCUAAUUCACUCAAGCAAACAACAUUUUAGGAGCACCAAAAGCUUGAUGCAAACCAUGGAAAAUACCAUCAUAGGUUUAAUAUAGCAAACUUCUGACCCAAUAACAUUAAUGUCAAGAGAAACACUUACAAUUCAAUAUCAGCUAUACAUGAAGGCAGUUAAAUACUAAAUGCAAAAAGGAAGAAAACAGCACAAGCUUGCCAUCAGAAUGCCAUGUGUAAUGCUGAAAGAACUCCUCUGUGCGGCGCAGUUGGUCAAAACAGCAUGUAGCAACAAAUUAGCUAGCCAUCUAGAUCAUCUCAGUUAGUGGUCAUAUCAAGAAGGCAUCUGCUCUUUGUGAUGUUCAGUUCUAUUCACCAUGCUAAGAAGCUGAGCGGCCCUUAACUGCAAACAAAUACAGCUAGCAUAUUAGACAACUUUAAAACCUGUUGUACAUGAGAAGCAUGAUAGGUAGAGGUUAUAGGUAUACCAGGGCUAACAAUCUUUAUCCUCUUAGUAAUAGCUCUGACAGAAGUAACAGAUGUAGCUCCU
rnacentral:lncRNA from 1 species